rnacentral:lncRNA from 1 species
AAGGAACAAACACAAAAGAACAAACAUGGAUACUUUCCUGAAUGUAUAUAGAUUAAAAGAUGCAGAGAAAGUUGACUAAGAAGAAAUGUACCUUGGCAAAAAUGGAAGGAGUGAGUGAAAAAGAUGCAGGGGUAGAUGGGAUAGAGAAAGUGGAAGAAUGAGACAAUUUGAGGCCAAAAAAAUGAGAAUUGGAAGGUGUGGAAAGGAGUUGAGAAGAAGGGUAUCUGGGAGUUUGAGUGUUAAGUAUUAGUGAGGUAGGAAGAGAGUGGUUUGAGAAAGUGAAGGAAGCCAUGAGUGUGGGUGAGAAUGAAGGUUGGAAGAAGAUAGUGCAUGAACUUGAUGGGGUGAUGGAUGAUAGAUAAAGAAUGUGGUUUGGCUGGUUGGGAUUCCCCUUUGGCGUGGACCAUUCCUCACCCCAUCUUUUUUUGUAAUAGCAAGGGUGUCCUAUUAUCCUAUGGGUAAUUAGUCCCUUUUGGAAUGUGUAGCUACUUCUUCCAAUAAGUGUCGCUCUCGAGAAUCAAGUCCUUAAUCUUUUAAUCAUCCUAAGGAUUUAGCGGGAUCUUACAAGACCAACGCCUUGUUGGUUUCCUCACCCCUUCUUUUUUUAUUCAACUUUUCUUUUGAGUUCAAUUUACAGCAAAAUUUAAUUUCAGAAUAAGUUGCAUGCAUAAAUACAAUAUUCUAAAUUCUGAAUAGAUUUUCAAGUGUAGUUUCAUUGGAUUGUAUUUUCUUGCUCACAUUAGUCACAUAUGAAGGAGAAUUAUUCAGUAAUUAUAACGUAUAAGUACUAUUUUGGUAGUUAGAGUUCAGUUUCAUAAAAGUUUUAGCUUAUGAAAAAAUAUCAAGUGAUUAUGCUUGGUCAGGAUAUUGAGAUGAGUUUGAAGAUUCUCUAUUCAUUGUGGAAAUUAGCAUCUGAUUUUCACUUCUUGGUUUUCUACCAAUGCUCAACAUGUUUUAUAUUAUCCAUGUAUAUUAUGAUUAUUACCAAAAGAAUCACAUUAGAAGGUAAAGCUUUAUGACAGUAUACUCGAGUAAUUAUUUACCAAAUAUACCAGGCUCUCCUUUAAUGUUUAACAGGGUGGAUGGAGUUGUAACCAUUCCUCAUAAUAAAGCUUGCCUCUUCUCCAAAGAACUCAAACUGCUAUGAGAAUGAAAGGAAGCAUUUGGCCCUUAUAGAAGUGAAAGCCAUGAGGGAAGAUUGAAGACCUUAGAGCAUUGUAAUAAUCAUUGCAUUGAUAAUAGUAAUAUGAUAAGAAAAUAAAUGUCCCAAGAAAGAGUUAUAUUUUUGCAGUCAGUUUGGUGUUCCCUAAAAUUAAGAGUGGAAAAUUUAGGGUCAAGUUUUAAAUUGUGGGAUAAAUGUUGUUAUGCUAGGCAUAGUCAUCAUUGAAAGAGUUAGUUAGUUAUAAUAAUAAUGACAACUACUUCAACAUUAUGGUAAUGUUUCUCAGAUAUAUCAAAGAGAUUGCAAAACCUUGGUGUUUCAAGUAGCACAUUCAAACCAUAAAAUAAUAUAGACACAGAAAAGAACAAGAAAUAAUAAAACUUGGAUGAUCACUUGCUCAAUUGAUGCUGAGCUUACAAUACAAAAAAUAUACUAAUAAUCUAACUUUAUGUGUGAUAAUUGAAACAAGAUUUCUAUCAGGAGAGAUCAUAACAAUUUGCUCUUUAUAGAAAAUGGGUCCAUAAUCAGCUACACUAUCAAAAUUACAGUGAUCACAAUUCAUAGUUACAUACUUGUCUCACUCAAGCCGAUGAGGAUGGAAUAGAACACAAGAAUAAAAGGCCUCAAAGGCUUUGAAGUAACUUCAACGUCUCGUCGAUAUGCUUUUCUGGUUGGAACUGAUUGUUGUAUACAAGCUGAACCACCCCAUUUUUGUCAAGAACAUAAGUCUCUCUUCCGGGCAAUGCUCCAAAUAAAUCACUCGGCACUCCCCAUUCUUUCCUCACCUUGUUUCCCUCAUCACUCAACAAUGUAAAUGGAAGUCUGUGCUUUUUGGCAAAUGCCUACAUUCCAUGCAACACUUUCAGUAUAAAGAUAAUAUGUUAGGGACCCCAUCACUACUACUAUAUUUUCUCAUACUAGUAUAUUUUAUAUAGUAGUAGUCAUGUACCCCUAUCCUGGUAUUUCAUUUCAAUCAAAUUGUAGUGAAACAUUUGAUUUUUACCUUGUGAGAUGAAGAAUCAUCACCACUGACACCUAUAACCUCUGCUCCUGCUUUCUUGAACUUCUCAUACGAGUCCCGGAAAGCGCAAGCCUGCGUUGUAACAAAAUAAUUUAAAAGUUCAAAUUUUGACACUGCUAGCCUCUAACUAUAUUAAGAAUCAAUGAUCAUGAGUUAUUGUAUCGCUUUUAAUUAUAAUUGGAGAUAUAUCAUAUGAUUCUUUGCAACAUUUAUAAACAAUGUUGGGACAACAUAUGAUUUAUGUGAGUAUUGAUAAGUAUGAUUUAAAGUAAAAAUGUUGUGUGUCACAAAUCUUGUCUAAAAAUGUUGUACAAAUAACAGAACUUGUGAUCCUUCAUGUUCCAUAAACAAAACCCUCUUUCAUUUUCAUAAGAACAACAACACCUUUGAAUGUAAGAUUGAAUGUGUUUUUACCUGUUUGGUACAGCUAGGAGAAUCAUCAGCAGGGUAGAAAUAAACAACAACAGGUUUUCCUUUGAAGUUGGUAAGGCUGACAGUUUUUCCAUCUUGAUCUUUCAAUGUGAAUGGUGGUGGCUUUGAACCUUUACUCACCUGUCAUGGAACAAACACAAACACAAACAAAAACAAACAAACAUGGAUGCCUUCUUAAAUGUAUAAAGAUGAAAAGAUGCAGACAUAGUUGAUUAAGAAAAAAUGUACCUUAGCAAAAAUGGAAGGUUUUUGUGAAAAAGAAACAGGAGUAGAUGGGAUAGAGAAAGUGGAAGAAUUAGAUAAUUUGAGACCAAAAAAAUGAGAAUUGGAAGGUGUGGAUAGGAUUUGAGAAGAAGGGUAGUUGAGAGUUUGAGUGUUAAGCAUUCGGGAAGUGGGAAGAGAGUGGUUUGAGAAAGUGAAGGAAGCCAUGAGUGAGAAUGGAAGAGAGGGAGAAAGUUAGUGAAUGAAUUGGAUGGAGUGGUAGAUAAGGAAGCAAAGUGGUUUAGUUGGUUGGAUGGGAUUGCCCUCUUACGUGGACCAAUCAUGGAUGUAUAUAUACCCUUUGGAAUUUGUUUGACUAAUUUCAUUUUUUUAUUCAACAUGUAUUUAUUAUCCACGUAUAUUAUGAUUACCAAAAAAAAAAUCAUUUUUGACAGCAGUUUCAGAAGGCAUAGCUUUAUCACAGUAUACCUGAAUCUUGAUUCUAGAGCUAUUGGCUAUUACUUAACAAAUAUAGCAGACUCUCCUUUAGUGUUACGAAGUGUGGAGGCAGUACUACAAUGAUCUCAAAUUGCCAUCAAAAUAAAAGGAUGCACCAUCCAGUAGGUAACAGAGUCCAGAAUACAAGCAAGUAAAACAUCGAUUCUACUACUUAUACUACCAAGAGUGGUAAUUUGUAAUAUUUCAUGAUUAUUUUGGUUGAGUUUUCAUGCCGGAAUCAAUUCCAAAGAUGCACGCCAAGCUACCAUAAACUCAGUUUUAGAUUGUGACUCCAAAUCUGAUAGUAACUAUGCAUUCAUACAGGAAAGGUAACUAUUACUUGUCUCAAUUUAAGAUAGUGGUUUUUGGUUUUCUUCUUUUAUAUAUUCCGGAUUGAUAAACAAAAUCAUAUAGUACAAUAAUUUAUUAACAAGCAAUUGUAGCCAGCCUGAAUUUUGACGUGAUCGCUCCGGUUUCCAUAAGGAGGAGCUCGACAACCAUGAAAAUUUCAACACAGUACAGAACUAAUCCUAAGAUAAAAAAAUGCCCAUUUAUCUAACGGGGCAUGAAGCUACGAAAUUGAAAGCCACUUUCUUUGCACCCAAUCAUUUUAGUGUGGUUUGGGCACAUAACCAUCAACAGCGAAGUUCCGAGUGGCAGCAGGAAGAGCUAAACGGAUUCCAUCAAGUUCAGGCUUGGCGAUCACUUGGCAACCCAAACGUGAUCUGCACAAUUGCCAAAAUCAGCAUGCAAAGAAAUUGAGGGGAUGAAAACGAAAAAUAAAAUUUUGCAGUCGCAGUUCAUGUUAAAGAAACCCACGUUUCACUAAGCCCGAAAGCUAGAUCCAACAUGUCAUUUUCUUCAUCAGUUGGAUCUUCCAAUUUAUUGUAGUAUUCUACAUCCUGCACAAGGUUAAGUAAUUUGACUGUCAUUUAAACGGAAAACAACACUAACAGAAAAAUAAUCAAACUAACUUAAAGUGGCACUUUCCAUGACAUACCAUCACAAUAACGUGGCAAGUUGAACAGGCAAGUGAUGCCUCACAUGCUCCUGCGAUAACAUAAAUAAAUUAACUUUGGUAACAGCAACAAUAAGCUGAAUCAAGAAUAGAUAUGCUUGCCUCUUCAGCAACUGGUCCCAGAUUUGAUAAAGUUGAAAAGUAAUGACAAGUGCUAAUUCUGAAUCAAAAUAAUUUGAUUGAGAUUAACUCUUUAAAGUUACUCCCCGAAUAACUUGAUCCCUUCCCAUAAAAAGAUCAACAACAAUAACAGCCUUAUACCAUUUCAAUAAACAAUAAACACCAUUAUGAUCCACCAAACUUUAAAAAUAAAAAUGAAGAGUGGAAUGCUAAUGUCAAAGCUCUUGCCUUCAAGCUCGAUGUUGUUUUCCUGAGCAGCUUCUAACAUAGACAUUCCAACAGGGACUUCAAUAUGAGUUUCCUCAUCAUCCUUGCCCACGAAAGUUACAGAUAUCCUGCAUAAAUUUGUAUCAACAUAUAAGGAGCAGAGUGACAAAUGAGUAUUUUUCUUUUGAACUUCAAUUGAAGUGCUCUGGUGCACUUCACCAAGGAUGUUGCUCCAUUCUACCAUUCAAUUAGUCAACUAAUCAGCCACACAAACGUGAUGCAAUUUGCAGUAAUUGCACCAUCUGUCUUAAGGCAAGUUUUUAGAUGUCUUCCAUCUGACAUGAGAAUGAACCGGAAGAGUUCAAGGAACUAUAAUCCAGUGAAACAAUUGAGGCUCGGAGAUGGUUAUUUUGCCAUUUAGAUUACAGUGUCAUACUCUAGACUUAGCCUGACUCCUGCUUAGACAUCACACCAACAUGGUUGAUAGCAUGAAAUCUAGAAUGCUAGGAUGCAUACAUUAUACAUGCAACUGUAAAUCCAAACUUAAAGUUUAAACCUCAAUGUUCAUGUGAAAAUGUGAUAUUACCAUUCCUGGCAUUUUCAAGUUGUGAAAUGCCUUCGAAAAUUAACCAUUGGAAGGAAGAAAAGGAGUGCAAAUUUCAAGUCCAUAUCCAUCAUCUCAGCUUUUAUUUUCUAACUAUUUAUUAACCAAAAUUACAGACAUUACCUCCAGUCAUGAUAUUGAUGAUACAUUCAAUCAUUAUGCCAUUCUCCCAUUAAUCAACACAAUCAUCAUGAAACUUGGAAGUGUAACAAUGCAGUAUGUUAGCUCCUUUAUGCAACAGUAUAAUCUGGAAAUUGCAGAAUUUUAAGAAAUAUUUAAUUCCCCAGCCUUCAGUUAACAAACAAAUGCAACUACAUAAUGUUUGUCCUUCUAAAGUCUUUGGCUUUUUGGGGUCAAAGUCUUGAGUUUGCUCUGUGAUAAAAGCUCAUCCCGCUGGAGAGUCCUUGCACAAUAUCAAAAAUCACGCAAAGACAAGAUAACAGAAGUUUAAAUUUGUCUGCAAAAUGAACCCAUUCAUUUUUGGUGAAUAAAGUUCACCAGUGUUUCAUGUCAAAAUAUGGCAUUAACUCUGAAGAGAUUGCCAAGUUUUUCAAAGAGGUCUUAUGCUAUGCAAUGACUUCUCACAUAAGUUCCGGUAAUCUUAACAAAGCAAUAGGGAAAUGGUCUAGUUAUGAAUAUUGCUUUCUGCGCCCGAAGUUAUGACACAAUAUUACCAUGUUUUGAAUGCUACAUAUUUACAACACAAUAACAUACUGCCACAAACUGUCAUCUCAAAAGAAAAAAAAACUUACGUUUCUUCUUUAUCACUCCCUUCCUCGGAUGUGUUGUUAGUAGUCAUCAUUGAAAAGAAAAUAUGCUUCUUAAUCAUGGCUCCAUUGUAUAACAUAUUAAACAAAAGCUGUUGAUGUUCAGGGAAAAAAUAUCACACAUUUGAAAUCAGAAACAUUAAUUUCCACAUCUAACAUUUUCAAUAUUUACAGAAUCAACAAAAGUUUUCCAACACAGCUUCCAAUUUGACAAUUUUUUUAAAUGUAAGCAUUAUAAAACUCUGAGUCCUGUAAUCUUUCCUCUAAAAAAAGUUCAAAGGAAACAAAAUUUCUAUUUGAUAAGACCAACAUGUGAAGCUACACCAACACAAUAGGUAAUACUGUAAGUAUCAACUUAAUUUUAAACAACGAUUAAGAACACAAUUAACCGUUACAUCUUAUCAAACUUCACAUGUACCAAACAAAAAAAAGGUUAAACUUCACCGACUAGGAAAAAAACAUAAGGACAAUUCAAAUUCUUAACAUAUUCAACUAAUGCUUAUUAAAUUUAAAUAAUAACAAAACAAUACUAACCGGAGGUUGCAUGUGGCGGUUGGUAGCGGUUAGAAUAUAUGGUGAUCUAGACAUGGAAGCAUAGUUCCCUGUAAAAGUGAAAGAAAUAAAAAUAAUGAUUAGAAUUAUAAAUUCCAAUGCAAUAAGAUAAAAAAACGGAGCAAGAUAAAAUUAGUAAAAGAAAUAUAGAUGUGUACUUGUGGAAAGGUGUUUAGCGACGCAAGCUCCAAAUCUUGCUACUCUAGAAUUUAGCAUGGUGAGGUUUAGAUAAACCCUAAAAUAAAUAUAUAUAUAUAUAUAUAUAUAUAUAUAUAUAUAUAUAUAUAUAUAUAUAUAUAUAUAUAUAUAUAUAUAUAUAUAUAUAUAUAUAUAUAUAUAUAUAUNNNNNNNNNNNNNNNNNNNNNNNNNNNNNNNNNNNNNNNNNNNNNNNNNNNNNNNNNNNNNNNNNNNNNNNNNNNNNNNNNNNNNNNNNNNNNNNNNNNNUAUAUAUAUAUAUAUUGGGAAUUGAAUUGAAAUUUGAUAAUAUGAAAAAAUUGGGAAGUUGAAGGAAUGAGCUGAGUCAGUAGAGAAGAGAAGAAGAGAGACUCUGCUCCGAGUAAAAAGGGAGAAGAAGAAGGGCAAGACUUCAGGCUUCAAAAGCCCAGUCACUGGCCCAUGAAAAGUAACACUCGUUUCAAAGUGGCCCAAUAAUAUGGAUAGAGGUAGCAAAGCAUAUCUCGUGGCCCAAUCAUACUAUGCUUUUAUCUUUUUUGUAAAGUCAAAAUAUCUUAUUUUUAACUUUAUACGGUCUUAUAUUUUAUUUGUAAAAUACAUAUUAGGGUGUAAGUAGGCCUAUUAAUUAAUCUAUAACAUGUUAGAUUAGAUUUCCGAUUUCUCACAUGCAUAUGAUAAGACGGAAUGAUCUGGUAACCAAACUGAGUGAGAAAAACAACACAUUAUUAGGAUGAAUAAAUUCAUCACCACUAUAAGCCAUCAUUAAGGAUGAAGUUGCUUGCUUUAAAUAUAAAGCAUAGAACAACCACCUAAUUUUUGACCAAGGUGAACAAUGCGAAUAACAACAAGAUGGAUCCCCACAUUUGUGAGUAGGUCAAACUCAAGUUUUUAAAAAAGCUUAUUUAACUUUACAAUAUUUUUAUAUUAUAUAAUAAUGUUUAUAUUAUGUUGUUUUAAUAUAGGUAAUAUUAUUAGAUAUGUAAUUUUGUUGUAAUGGUUAGAGUUAGUUAUAUAUAAUUAAACGAGACAUAUUAUUAUAUAUUUCAAGACUAUAUAGUAUAGCGAUUAAACUAAAUUUUUAAAUCGGUCAGACUUAAAUAUUGAUUUUUUUAAAAUGGAUCAACAGACUAAACUCAACUCAUAUAUACUAUAUAAAUUCAUAGUGUUUAAGGCAAUGUCUGACCUAACAUAUUUUCACCCUUAAAUACAUGUAUCAACCAUCCAAUAUCACAUAUAUACGUGAACGUUACCUUACAACUCAACCAAUCUGGGCAACUUUUAUCAUGUCUUUCAUUCCCAUUCCUCACUUAUCUUAGUCAUAUUUUCAUAUGGCACCGUCCUAUUAUUAAUUAUCAAAGCAACGGUACUGUUGCGUAAUGGAAAUGAAGAUAAGAGGUGAGCCACAAAUAUCAUCAUUACUUGCAUAACUAUCUUUUUAUUUUUAUGCAGUUUCUUACUUUAUUACAGAGACGUGACUUGGCAACCCAUUGUCAUUUGCAUAUAAAUGAAUUAAUUAAUAGUUAAUGAUUUCGUAGGUAGCUAAGUCUUAAAAGAAAAGGUUGAAGGAUACAUCGUACAUGGUUGGGUGAGGCUAUCCUACUCGAAAUAUGCAAAAGGGAAUGUUAGAAACCAAUUGGGCUAAGCAAACAAAAAAUUGGGCAAAUUAUAAAGUAAAAGGAUCCAAAGUACCAAAACAGCCCAUUUUUUAUUUGCCACCUUUCUUUCCUUUUUCGCUACCUAUGAGUUUAUGACUUUCGGCCGUUUCAAUUUUUCAAUAAAUAUUAAUUUAAGUCAAACUUAUUAAACAUACUUUAUUUUCUUAAUUACGGUGUAUAAAUAUUUUGGAAUUUUUUUAUAGAUAAAAAAUUAACUCAUUUCAAGAUUCGUUGCUGCCUCUACCAAUAAAUGUCGCUCUUAGAAAUUAAACUUUCAACCUUUUGAUAAUCCAAACCAUACAACACUAAACUAAGGCAUGGUAGUUUUGAUACAUCCCAAACGAUUUGGUGGGUUUGCACCGUGCAAUAGAAAAAGUUGACGUAUAUAGAAUUUUUCAAAUAAUUAUAAACAAAGAUACAUAUUAAUUAUUUAGACGCAUUAAUUAUUUAAAUGCUGGUUUUUUCCUAUUAAUCAGUUUAUAUAUUAAAAGAUAUUUACAGAUAAGAGUACUUCUUUACAUUAUAAAAGUAAAAUAUAAUCUUACUUGGAUUUAAGCUCUCAUUUACUAUCUACAAAAUAUAAAAUAUUGAUCUAGUAGUAUAAACUAUAAAGCUCUAUUAGAUCUUAAGAUGAAUAAAUUUGGAAGCGACAAUUGUUAGGAAUUAUGUACCUGUAAAGGGAUUAACUCCUUACUCAUAAAGAGAUAAUACUCUUAAUAAUACAAAAAAACUCAUCUCAUAAAAAUAAUUGUAUAUAAAAAGGUAGAUAAUAUGUUAAUCAUGUAAAAAAAUUAUACCAUAACCAUUUUUCAAUUUUUUUUCUUAUCUUACAAUGUAGUAAUAUUUGAAGUUAUUACAAAAAUACAUAAAAGUAACUUGGAUUUUAAAAGUUGUCUAUAAUAGCAAAAUAUUGUAUAGAAAAUGGUUGGUUUGGGGAGAACAAGAAAUUGGUUGUAUAAAAACGGUUGGGAUGGAUGUUUGGUGGAUGAAAACUGAAAAAACAGCAUUCAGCUAGCGAGAAAGAGAAACUAAGAACAAGUACAACACUGCAUUUUCCUCUAAGCACAAUAAGUUUUGUCCUUACUUCUCAACUACACCAUCAUUUUCAUGCAUUUCCUUCCUCCUUUUCGCAGCUAACACCCUCUUCUUUCUAUAUCAGGUAUCAAUAUCUUCAUCUUCACAUUAGCUAUAGGAUCUAUAUGUAUCAUAUAUGCUUAAUAACAAGUUUAUAUAAUUGCGACAACAAUUUAAAACACUGAAAUAACUUGACGAGACUGGUAGCCUAAGAAUUUGAGGACUGAGGGUGGUGGAUAAGAGAAUGAAAGGGACAAAAACAUAUAAAUCAUCAAUUAUAUGUGAUUGAUCCUAAUUACUCAGUCUGUAAUUUAGUUCUCUGUUUAAUCAUUAUUGUUAGCUUUAUAAAACUUGUAUGCAGCAUGCUAAUAAAGGAUAGUGUGGCCUCCAUCAUUUAUUAGUUUUCUAAGAACAAAACAUGAAAACUAUUUUAUGUAUAUAUCUCUGCAUUUAGUAAUGAGACCUUUUAUUCUACAGAUAAAUUUGCUGAAUUUGUUCUUACUAUUGUGUUGAAAGUUUGCCAAUGGAAGAGGUUGGAGUCUCCAAAUUGAAAUCACUUGGCCAAAUUGCAAAGAUAAAAGAAAUGUUUCAGAAGUGGCAAACAACUCCCCUAGGCUCAAAAGAAUCCAAUGACCACUCUCAUGUGAAACAUGGGGGAAUUUCACCAAUGAUUAACAAAAGGCUAACAAAUCUUGUGUAUUGUGACUCUGAUGAGGAAGGCUGCUACAGCCCCGAACCGCCGCAUGAUGUUCCGAAAGGAUAUUUGGCAGUCUAUGUUGGACCGGAGCAUCGAAGGUUCAUCGUUCCUACGAGCUACCUUAGCCAUUCUUUGUUCAAAGUGUUGCUGGAAAAGGCUGCAGAGGAGUUUGGGUUUGACCAGAGUGGUGGACUCACAAUACCAUGUGAGAUUGAAACAUUUAAGUACCUUCUGAAUUGCAUGGAGAACAAUCAGAAAGAUGAUCAUGAUGAAAUUUGUAAGUUAAUUACAAUAUUUAUCUUCCAUUUCAUAUAGGUUCAGUGGAAUCCUUGCAAUAUAUUUCAAAUACACUUACUAACAUAGCUAAUGAUCAUUUUCACAAAUAAUAUAGCAUAAGCCAUGAUAGCUUAAGAAGUUCACAAAUUAUUUGUUCAUUUUUGUUCUUUUACAAAGCUAUAUGUGGUCCUAAGAGAUGAAAGAAGAAGAUUUCACUGGAUAAGAGAGAUUGAAUCAUUGAGAUUGGUAGUGAUGUCCAAUAGUCUAAGCUCAAUUUCACAAUCAAGGCCUUCUAAUUCAACUAAAUAUCAAUUUCAUCCUAAGCAAUUAUAACAUUUUAGGUUCAUUUAGCUUUUGAAAUGAUCCAAAUUGUUUUUUCCAUAUUAUGAUACUGCUCACAUGUCAUCAUUGACUUGCAUUUCCCCCAUGGAAUAUAUAUAUAUAUAUAUAUAUAUAUAUAGGAAUGGAAGUGUCUGGGAGCAAUUUUAAAAUAAAAAUUGUGAGAAUAAUAAAUUUGGGUUUUAUGGACUAUACAUGGAUGGAUAGGAGUAAAAAUAGUUAUUUGUCACACAUGAUCACUUCUUUUAAUCUUGAUCAUUCAAAAGUUCCAAUGAUACAUAUUAAUUGUUCUCAUUUAUCACAAUAACAAUUAUUGUCUCAAUUAUUAGUUCUUUUCCUGUUUCACUAACCUUUAAACUCUUGGUGGAUUUGUAGGUGGAAACACAGGAACCAUAGAAGAGUAAGUAAUUACUGUGGUCUUUAGAGAGGUGCAGAACAUAGUGCUGGUCAAGUGUAAAAGGAGGGGAAGGGCCCUACUUCCAUUUUUUGUUUUGAUUUCUUAUGUGAAGAAUUAUACAGUACCCUAGUUAGAAAGAUUUAUGAUUUGUUGGUUAUUUGCAACUAUUGAUUGGUAGAGCGGUUGAUAAACUAUGCACUAUCUGCUUUGGAUUGAUAUAGAACUAUAUCAAAUGUUCCCCUAAUUCAUGUACUUUUGCUAACUAAAAUUUGUUAGCUUAUUCAAAUGUAACUUUUUAUUAUUAUAAAUCAUGAUGAGUAUUGUGGUUCUCAAGCAUAUCAAAAGUGUUAUUGUUUUUAGUUUUACAUUUAAUAAAGAAAAUGUUAUCACAUUAUAUUUAAAGAGUAAAAAUGUCACAUUAUAUAUAUUUUUUUUAUCAUUUAUGUACUUUCAUCUGCCGGAAGGAUCCUAACCCAUUAUUUUUAUGAUUAGGGCUUAAUUCACCUUAUGUGGUUUCCUUGUGAGGUGCUGGACUCUUCAAAGCUAUUUUACAUAAUUUUUUUACAUCAUACUUGAUUUUGAAAAAAUAGGUAACAUGUGUUUAGGAAUUUAUGUAUUACUUGAUUGAUUGUACAAUAAAUAAAUAAAUAAAUAAAUAAAUAAAGGAAUAAAAGAAUGAUGCAGAUUUUAUCCCACAUAUUACUCUUCCCUUAUUAUCCCCUCUAUCCAGAAUAGGAAAACUGAAGACUUGUUUAAGCAUAUUUAUACAUGAAAAGUUGCUUCUCUUCUUCUCCUUUUAAAACUAAUGGUCAUGUGCACUUGUGGAAUAUAAUCUUUAAUAAAAUCCCGUUUUGAGCUGUCAUAGUUCCAUUCAGACUAUAUGCUUUAUUAUUAUAGUACAAAAUGGCUAAAGAAUCAUUCAUGUCCAGAAAAUAAAGCAUCAUCAUUCUCUGUAUCUCAUGUGUGCACAUGCAGAAAAGGUAAUGCUUAAGAAGAUCUCAUAUUUAUUCUUCUUGUAUUCAUUAUUUAUUGAUGAUUAUUUGUUUAUGGACCAGCUGUAUAUUUUUUCUUUAGUCAACCUUUAUGAUUUAAUUUGUGCAUUCUCUACUAAGAAACUGAACAAUUUGCAUAACAAUGCUAUCUUUUUCAAUCAAAGUUUUGACUUUUAUGAAGAGAGUCCAAUAUAAAUUAAUAGUUUAAUACCAAUCGUCUAAAUUCUAAAACUUGUAAGGUUUCCACACUGUCCAUCAACACUAGGUGCUGGCUUAGUCCUUGCAGAUCCAAUCAAUUUAGGUUUGAUAAAAGGUUGCAACAAUUAUGUGGGUAGGCUAGCAUUAUUUUUAUAAAUUGUUUAGUAACUCAUAAGAGCUUAGCUUAGUAACACAAUUGAUUAUCAAAAUGGUUUUGGACAUAAAUAUAUUGGAAGAGAAUGUGGUGUAGGAUCAAAAUUUGCAAAAAUAUCAUUAUUUUUCUUAUGUUAAAAGUAUAACUAUACUAUUUAAUCAUAUCAAACCAAUUAAUAUAUACUAAUAACGUGUUGGUAUACUAGUAUAAGGUCCGGCUAGAUCCCAGAAAAACCCAAAAGGUCAAGAAUUUAAUUCCUACAAGUGACACUUGUUGGAAGAGACAUUCACACAUACUAAAAAAGAUUUAUCCAGAAGGUAAAGAAAUAUCGUUGUUAAUACAAAAAAGAAAGAAUAAGAAGAAAUGAUAUAAUCUACAAGCAUUUCUCUUUAUGAAGAGGAGAUGAUGUAUUUAUACAUGGGCUUUGUCAAUAUUAAGCUACUUUCAGUGAUGGUCCAGUAACAAGUUAAUACCCACUUAUCUUUAGCAUUAUACCCCUCCUAACAGGAACCACUGACUAUUUUUUAGUGCUGGACUUUUCAAUGCUAUUUUUUACAUCAUGCUUGAUUUUUAUGGCUCGGUUCAUGACCAUACCGGGCCAUAAAAAACCAGAAUGAAAUGGGUAGAAAUUUGGUUGUAGCUUCAUGUCGGACAUAUUUUUAUACGUGACCUCACUAGUUUUCUGUGACCCAUUCAGGUUGAUCCAGAGCUCCAACGGGUUAAGGACCCUAUCUACCUAGGAAAAACUGGCACGAGUCUAUUAGGCAUGUUUUUGUUACUCUAUUAGGCCUGUUUUAUCAACUCUAUUAUUUGGAUUUUUGAUCAAUUUUAUCAUAGAUCUAACUGCAACCUCUUUGUUUUCUACGCACUACACAUCCUCACAAAUAUGGAAACGUUAAUUAGUAUGAAUGUAUGAUCUUGUUAAUUUGUCUGCUUAAGGAAAUCAAGGUAGUUGUAAAGAUACAGUAAAACUUUUGUUAAUUGGGAAUAGAAUUAGGCAAGUUGAAUAACAUAUAAUGAAAAGACUUAUAAACCUAAUUGCUUUACGCUUUGUUUUGUUUGAGAGUGAAAUUUUGGAGGGGAAAAAAUAGAUGAUUUUGGAAAGUCUUCCCCUUGUUUUGGAGUUGUAUGAAGGAGAGGAGAACGUUUUGGAGAUCUUUUAUGUGUCUAUUUUUAAAGUUUCCUCAAUUUAAGGUUUUUAAGAUAAAAUGUCAAAAUAGCUAAAUAUAUUUAGUAAUAAUAAUAUAUACUUACAAAAAGCCUAAAGGUGGAAUAACUUGAGCUAGAAACCCAAAUUGGAGAUUAAAGAUUAGUCAUAACUAGGCUUGCCGACUUGAACUUGAGGGGGUGUAGGGACAAAUAAAUAAAGGUCUUACAUUCAACAAAAUAAGGUGAUUUAAAUUAUAUGGGUUAAAGAAUGGUGUCAAGCUCACAUGUUAUUACUCACAUAGUUUAGUAAUAAAAAAGGCUAAACUCACUCUCUCUCCAUGUAAGAGUUGGAUCAGGCAAACUUCUAAAUUUUAUAUUAAGUUUAUUAGUUUUCAUUGUAAAAGAAAAACUAACUAAAUUGGAAAAAGUUAUAGACAUUUUUCCUUUCUCUUUCGCCAACAAAUAUAUUACAGCACGUAAUUGUUACCAUGCAUGCAUGCAUAAAUCCUAUGGUCCCGUCCCACAACUCACAUGUUCUCUUGGAGCUUUCUUAUUGUCUCUUUCUUUCUCUUCACACAUUCUCUUUUGAAAUGUAUUAUUUCCAUUUUACAUAAUAAUCUGAAUCACUUCCCACCUAAUAAUUUUAGAGAAGAGGGAAAUAAUGAACACAACUUGGUCUGAAUGCUGAAAAUGUACUUAAAUCUCAGGCUUCACAUGGAAUUGUCUCAUGGUUUAAAUUCAUUUUGGAGUUUAGUGGCUACAAGGUUUUGGAAUAAGAUCAUGUUAGAUUUUUUCUUUCAUGGGAAUUAAUAGAAUGUUGUUAGAUGAGAAGAACAAAUGAUGUUGUUUUGUAUUGUUUUUCUUGUGUCAUGGAUUAUGUCUCUCUUCUUCUCCACAUCUAGAUCCCUUAUCACGGCAUGGAGAGUAAUUAACGUAUACCCACUAGAGAUUUGAGAUUUUUCAAAGUUAAAGUUCUAGUUCUUGUCUAGUUACAUUUUUCAAGAAUUAAAGGACAAAACUACAUAAAUAUUUCCGAAGUUCCCUUACAUUUCAAGGACCAAGAUUUUUUAAAAUAACGGCGUUGAAAGCACAUUUUUUAGAAUUUCAUAAAAAAUAUACUGAUAAAGCAAAAAUAUAUAUAUGUGAUUAGUUGAGAAUGUACUUAAAACCUUUUUACAUUAAAAAUGCAUCUAAACUAAAUCCUAAAUUUUUAAGAAUUUAUUUUAUCUUCCACUUUCUUUAUAAUUGAAAGAAUACAUCCAAUAAUGCAUAUAGUCAAUUAGAUCACUUCUACUUAUUUAGAAUUAGUAUCAAUAGAAAGUUAAAUGCAAAUCUAGACCCCUUAUCGCUAGUGCGUGUGUUACGUUCGUGACCUUAUUUUAAAAUAAGUAUCAUCAUAGUCUAAGUUAUCAAUGACAAUUUAGGUUAUGCUCAUGUUGGUCUGUCAGCAUAAUAUGUGGAUAAGGGUCAAAAAUCUUGUUUAUUAGUUCAAAAUGUUUAUUUCAUCUGUAGACUUUUCUAAUGAACACUAUGGGCUGCUCCCGAGUAUUUUGAUCUUAACUAUUGAUUAUUAUGUUUGAUUUUCUAUUAUACUUGAAAUAUAUAAGUAAAUAGACACAUGGACUUAAUAUUUUAAUAUUUUGAGUCAAAAUGUGAUAUCAAACUUAUUUAUAUGUUUAUUUGAUAAAUGAACAUUCUAACUCUAAUUUAGGCGUACCGAUUGAUGUUCCGGCAAGAUAUAUGUUCACAUUUUUCCUUAUUAUUUCAUUCUAUAAUCUCAGAAAGCUUUAGAAACCUUAAUCUCUGUUAUUUGAUUGUUUUUGUAAAACCAUCAUGAAAAUCGACAGCAAACCAUCCCUUUUAAAUACAUGCCAAAUGCAAACAUUAAUAAGACAGUUAUUUGUCUGUAUGAUCAUUAGUAACCUUAUCUUAUUUAAUCCAAUUCCAAAGCAACCCUUUCAACUUGGAGACAAGAGUCAAUGUCACAUAUCAUGCACCAUAUGUUUAAGUUUACAUGUCAAUUCUUACUUCAAUUAACUGAGCAGACCUGAAAAUUGUCUCCAUUGUCUUUCAUAUACCUUUGUCAGCUAUGAGAGAGACUCUAAGCAUUUUCUCAAGUUUAUUUGUUGUCAACUUUUUUUUUUGAUAAGCAAAAUAAUUGGAUUAAAAGUAUAAGGAAUACUAACCCAAGAAGAAUAAAGUAACAAAAAAUGCAUUUGGUUUUUGACGGGAGUCCGAUAAAGCUUAAUAUGGAUCAAGAAGUCAUACAAAAUCUUAAAAAUUUCAAUCGAAAGGAUCAUAAAAAUGCAACCAAAACAGAAUUGUUUGUGAUCAGUUUUGUUACCUUAAGUGUUACUUGGCAAACCUUUUAGCCAAGAACAUGAGCCUCCCAGCUUAAUUUGUAUUGCUGAGUUGAAUUUCUGUUAAAAAGAUGUAUCUAUCUCUUUUCAACUGGAGAGUUAAAUGAUGUUACUUAGAAAGAGCUUAUGAAGAGUAAAUGUAAUCAACCUAAAAUAACAUGUAUGAUUUUCUUUUAAGUUUCUUAGAACUUAUUUCAAUAACCUUAUGAAAGAAGUUUAUAAAAUAUUAUUUUACCAUAUUUUAUAAUAGCUUAUUGAGAUUGACAAUGUUUAGUUUUAGAGUAAUCUUGUAUUCUAAAAACAAAUUAGCUUAAAAUUCCCCUAAUCAUGGAAAUGUGACUUAUGUCACUCAUCAACUAUGACUAAUAAAUUUGUUCACUGAUCAAUUCCAACCACAUGUCACUUUAUAUCUACAUAAAGCUAAUCAUAUAGCUUUUUUUUUUUAUUGUUAUGGAGAUUUUGAAAUUAAUUUGCUAAGAGAAUAAUACCAAUAUUCUAUUUUACAAGGAUCCAACAUGAUAAAACCGAAAAUCUGAACUCCUAAUAAUGAAUGAAGAUCAUCCAGAAAAUCAGACAAAUAAAUAAAUCAAGUAUAGUGAAAUAACGAAAUAAUAAGACAAAUUGGGGUAUCUAAUCUAAUUUCAGAACAAUUAAGUUUAACUAAUCUAUAGUUAUUUACACACAACUCAUUAUAUUAUUUUUAAAGUAAGCAAUUUCUUGCAUUGGACAUUACUGGUUUUCAUUAUUAUUGUAGUAUUAUAAUAAGUUUGGAGACAAAUAUUCCAGCAGCAACAUGGGCUCAUUCAUCACUCGUGUGAAAGGAAACAAAGGCCCCUCCAUGAGGCUAAUUCCAAUUCACAUUAUUCAUGUGGUAUGUUUUCGAAAAGACCAAAAUAUCCCCUGACCGAAGACCAAACAAAAAGUGACUGAAAUGUGUGUAUAGUUGUUGUAGUGAUUGGUAGGGAGCAUCUCCACCAUAACCCGCAAAAUGCGGUCCUCUAUUUCAUUAUAUUUUGAUCUACCUUUGUCGUUUUCGGUUUGACAAGUCACUAUCUCAUCCCUACCACCAAUUAUAUAUACUCCUCUUUUCAACAUCCCUUAGCUUCAUACCCAUAAAUAAAUUUGGCAUACUAAACAAUAUAUAAUAAUAUAGAUCGUAGAUGAUAGAUAUACAUAGUCUUAUCCAACAAAUAGGGAGAUGGUAGAAUUUGAAUUCAUCACCACAUUGUUAGUAAAUUAAACAACAUAUGUAUAAAAAAGAAUUUAUGGGAUGUCAAACCAAAUCAAACAUGAAGAAAUGUAAAAGCAAAUAAUAAGAUAAAUGGGAAUCAUGAUAUAUAGCUUCCCCUUAGUCAAUCAAUUAUAAUAUUCGGUACUAGAGAGUAGUCAUAUAACUGAAAAUCAGAGUGCUACAACUAGAUGUGAUCUUUUGAAAUUAUCACUAUGUUUUUUGUGGUUAAAAGAUAGUGAUGAUUUUGAAAGGUUGUGUAGCCAAAAUUAGAGGCAUGACAAGAGUGAAUUGUAAACAUUCUUUAAUUUUACUAUACAUUGCAUAAGUAGAAUGGACAAAAUAAGAUAUAGAACCCUUAAUUUUAACAAUAUAUAUUGGUCUGACGAGAAAAUACUAAAAAAUAAGAAUUAUGAGUCAUUAAAUACAUUUUGAGAUGAUGUUGAAGUUCUCCGUUUCUUUUCAUUUCUGUCUAAAACUCAACUCGCAGAUAAAGAGUAAACUACUUAUUUAGAUUUGAGGAAGCCUAGCAUGUGUAGUGUCUGGUAGGGACGACAAUAAAAAUCGAACCCGUGGGUCCCUGCCCGAACCGAACCUGAAUUUAACGGGGAAACCCGAUGUGAUUGGGUUCGGGUUUUACCCGGGUUUAAUUCGGGUUCGGGUUUGGUAUAGCAAAGACCUUAACCCGAACCCGCCCUGAAGUAAGGUAAUUCAAUUUAAAAUUGAAAUUUCUAUCAUUUGCCCAUUGUUUUUAAUUUCUAAUUUCACUUUACAUACUAUUAGAUCUUUAAACAUAAAAGAAAUGAAAUAAUACAAGAUAAAAUAGAAAUGUUAGAGAAAAAUUACACGAAAAAAAUAUCAUAUUUUCCUUAACACUUUAUCAUUUUCGGGUUUUUUCGGGUUCGGUUUACCCGAAAUCCGACGGUUUUGGGAUGAUAUUUUUAUUUUCAACCCCAUUGAGUUUGGGUUUGGGUUUUGAAUUUCGGAUUUGGGUUUGGGUAUGUGCAAACUUAUCCCCGACCCCCCUGUUGCCAUUCCUGGUGACGGUCACUAAAAUAGUAAAUUGAUGAUGGGUGCUAAAUUUGUUAGGUAAUUUAAAUUUGUUAACAACUUGGAAAUAGAGUUAGGUAAUUCAAACAUGCAAAGAUGGGUGCUAAAUUGUUAGGAAUUUAAAUCAAGUUUAAGUGAAAUUAAAAGAAGUCUAGCAGUGAGAAUAAAUGGGGGGAAAGUGAGAAUUGUAUAGGUUGAUAAACCCAUAACUAUUAUUUAUGAUAUAACAUUUUGGACAAUAUUUCUUCCCUUGGCCGGCCUCAUGGAAAAAUGUUUUUUUAUUAGAUGUUAAUAUUUUAUUGUGGGUGAGAGUCAAACUCUUAACUUAUUUUACUCAUAUCAAUCACUCUAACCAUGAAACUGCAGUUAAGUAAUUAUUAUUAUUCGUAUUCUUCUGAUUCAACCAUCAAUUGCAUCAAUGAAGUGAUACACACCAAGAUGGAAUAUUAAUUACCAAGUUUAUUGCUACAUGGGUUUGCAUGGUUGUUCAGAAUUUUGUUGUUGUUCUUGUGCCGAAAAAUUCAAGAUUCCACUUUAAAAUUAUAGUAUUUCCUUCUGCGUGGAACCUCAGGAAAGUAGACAUACAUUGAUGAAGUUGAAUCCACGAAUUGCAUGGUUUGUAUAUUGCUUUAAUAUAUCAACAACUAGCUUUUUCCUUUUAUAAAGGAGGGGCACAUAAAGUGCUCAACCAUAAUUGUUGAUGGAAAAGUUAACAAUAUUUACACGACCCAUGCAUGUAAAUAGCACAUUCUACAUGUGUGAUAAUAUAUUUCCUUGAUUUUUUUUAUUAAUAAUAAUGAUCCUACAUUUUACGUUCUAAAUUGCAGCAUUUAUCACUUUAGACUCAAAUGACCAUUAUUUUCUACUGUUUAUAUAUGUUCCUUAAUUUGUAGAAAAAAUGAUUUUAAAAUAGUUUUAAAUAUAUUUUUAGCUUGCAUCCAUCGGGUUAAAAUCUCCGACUUUAUCAAAUCAAGAUAGAUAUGUUAAUAAUCAAGAUCCUAAAAAAUUCUCUUACUUUAGAAAUAAAUGUGAAGAUCCUCAAAAAAGGCUAGCAAUGCACAAUAUUUUAAGCUGUUGAGACCUAAUAUAGAAAUAAUUCAAUAGGUAAUAGAUAUGAACUCUUAGGCUUUGUUUGGGAGUUAAGAGAGAAAGGAAAUGAGAGGGAUGAGAGGGUAAAGAGGGGUGAGGAAAGGAAGGAGAAGGGAGGGCAAAUCCAACUAAACCCCUCCCUUGUUUGGGAGUGUGGAAUUUAGAUAGGAGGGGAUGGAGGAUUAAUGUAAUAUAAAAAUAUUAUUUUACCCCCCUUUAAAAAAAUCAAUAGUAUGUUAUGUAUUAUAUGUUAUAGAAUAAUAUUAGUAAGGGUAGUUAAGUAAUUUGACUUAUUUUCCUCCCAAAAUACCCCAAUUUGGAGGAACUGAGUAUUUUGGCAUUUGGAGGGUUUGAGGGAGUUUGAAAAAUCCUUCAAAACCCUCCCAUCUCCACCACUAAACUCCCAAACAAGAGAAUCCAUCUCCUAAACCCUCCCAUUCCUUUCCUCCCCCUCCAAAAUGGUACUCCCAAACAUGCCCUUAGUGUAAACAAUUUUCGAAUUAUUUAAUAAAGGUAAAAAACUUAUGUUGUUCUAUAGGUGUUUGCAACGAUGUUUUUCAACAAGAAUAAAACAUGCAUCAUUUUUGUUGAUAAGUUGUGACAUAUAUUGAAGAUCAACAUCAUAGGUCCCAAUGAAACAUCACCUAAGUUUUCUCCUAAUCAAAAACCACAACUCUUGUUCGAGAGGACUCAGUUAAUAUGUUUGAGAUUACCAAAGAAAGAGUUGCAGCAAGCUAGCUUUUAAGUUUUAACUCCAGACUUCAAGAGUCAAUACCCAACUGUAGAUCCCAAGCUUUUAAUCCUUACAUAAGGGAGACUUGAACCCUCUUCUAAGUACUUGUAUCAACCCUCUAUGUGGGUUAAAGAAUUCCAGGUCCAAUAGUGGAAUAUGCAUUUUUUCAUAACCCAACACUCAAUAUAUAUAAUAAAUACAAAAUAAAAUAAAUGAAAGUUUAAUCAGAAAAAAAUACAUGCGCUAACAGUGUAUGAAUUUUAUAUAUUAUUACUGUAUUAUUUAUCGUUCAUAUUUUUUCAUCAUUGACUUUUCAAAAAAAAAAAUUAAAAAAAAUGGUAGAUAAUAUAUUCACUAUGUACAAAUCUUUACACUAAUAAUGCAUAUAUAUUACUUUAAUCUACUCACAAUAAAUAAAAAUGAACAUUUGAUUGGUAGGAAAGUGAUUAUUUUGUGUUAUAAAAACUGUUUUUAUAUACCAUAUUCAUUUACUUGACCCCACUCCAGGAAUAAUUCCACUAAACUAAUUUUCCUUUCAUCCCCUCUCUUACAUUGUCUUCAUACUCUGUUUGCACUUUAUUUUAUGUUCAUCUUCCUAUUAUUCUUUAUACCCUUCUUUUGAAUCUUAUACUCCUUUUCCUUUUAGACUAUUCUAAUAAUGAUGGGAAGUAUAUAGCUGGUUGCUUCUAAAUUUUCAAGCCACUAAAACUACACAAUAGCUGGCAAGCUGUUCAACUUUUUUAUGUUCCAAGUUCCAAGUUCAAACCCCACUCUUUUAAGAGAAACAAAGAAUGUUGCCAACUAUUGUUGUAUUAAUUGCAAUGUUCCAUUAGAAAAGCAAAACAAAAUGUCACAACUUUAAUUAAAGGGAGCACAAACUUAACUAAUGUUUCCAAUAUAAUAACUUCAAACACAUCCUCUAUUUUCUUUUCUAAAUCAUCAUUGUCGGAUAUACUAACACCACAUACCUCAAAACUAUAUUGUUGUGGUGUUGAAGUAAUUCAUGCAACAAAUGCUUUUAUGGGGUGGCAAUGGCAGCUUGGAAACGCGUUUCAUAAAGACUAAUGUUUGUACUAAACGAGUUACGUGUCAUGCACUUAAUCCACAAAACCCUAUGUCGAGCGUGUAAGUAUAUAAGGAAAAACAAAGGCAUCUAUAACUACCUAAUCAUUAGUGUUCAGAAAAAUGUGUAUUUCUGGCAGAUAGUAUAUAUCUCGUUCCCAUUAUAAGCAAUUUAACAAUAUUUGAGACCCUUUUUCUAUAAUAAUCUAAUCAACUUUUGUAUGCAGAAGCUUUGCUUUGUGGUGCCAGUGCCCUUAAAAGAAGUUGACUUCAUUGCUGUCUCAGAAUUUAUCUGAACUUCUUUUGUAGGUUCCUCUGGAUAUAUAUAUAUAUAUAAGUAUAUUUCUUAGUAGUGUAUGUGUCUGAGAUGCAGCCAGCAUGUUCUUUUCCUCGGCCAACAGCCAAGAUAUAAAUAAAUUAAUUUACAUGACCAAGUCAUGAAUGUUUUCAUUUGGUGUAUUAGUUAAUUCUAAUUUAGGAGUUUUGAUUAAAGGAGGAAGUUGAUCCAUGAAUUUCAAAUAGCAGGUAAUGACUAGUUUAUAUCUCUUAAUACUUUUUUUUAGCAUGCAAGGGCUUUUUUAACUUAUAGUUAUAGAUUAAUCUAAUUAGAGACUAUCAAAGUAAAUUUUGUAUCUACUAAUAAAACAUUUCGAUACACAUAACAAAGAUCUAACACUUCAUAUUAUGUUAAUGGAUCAUAAAGUCAUGCGUCCCCUUGCAGAAAAAAGUAAUAAAAGCUUUUCACAAUAUUAUAUUAACUAUAUAAAAGACUUGAGAGUUUUAUAUUGGGUUAAUAAAUAUUGAUGUUAGGAGAUUACAAUUUAAAAGACUAUUGGUCUUAGAGAUAGAUUGACUGCCCUUAAUAGAAGUAAAUUAAAUUGACUAGCUUCAACGAAUGAAGAUUAUUUAUUUUAAACCAUAUUUCACACGCAUUAUAAUAAAGUAAAAAUAGGAAAAAAAUAAUAAAACUUUAAUUUGUAAUCAAUAUAUUAUGUUUUUAUUAAUACAAAACAUGUUUUGGGAUAACAGAUUUUUAUUAGAGUUGAUAACUAAUCAAAAUUCUCAUCAAUACCGGCACUACAUUUAAUAAUGGGACAUAACAAACCAUGAAAAAGUAAGCUGACUCCAUUGCAAAAUUUGACAAACAACUCAGCAUAAAAUAAUCGUUGGCCUUGUUUUUACGUACACACACAUGUUGCCUUGUCGCUAAAAUAACUAUAAGUGAUGUAACUAGUGAAUAUGGUGUGUGGCAUCUUAUAAACUGUGCCCCCAUCUAAUACGGCUCCUAUCAAUAUAUUUAUAUGGACCAGGAUCACAUGUCCCAAAAAGUUCAUAUCUCUAUAUAUCAGACUAAUUAUUUUCAUCCAUAUGAUAUAAAAAAUAUAUUUUAUAUUUUUAUUAUUUUUCUUUUCAAUUAUAUGUCAAUUUUUAAUUGACUUAGUAUACAAAUGGGAUACUAAAAAUGGAAUAAGUGAUUUUCAUUCAUAUUUCUAUACCCUCAUGGCAUAUAAGUAUUAGUUAACUUAGAGAAGGACCUUAUAAAAAAACAAAAAUCACAAGAGUAGUAACUAUGAAAGAGUAGUUACUAUUAAGUCAACUUCCACUUUCUUUACUUAGCAAAAUGUGGCCUUGUGAACCAAAUUUGUGCGUAAUUGCACUAAUGUGAACCUCAUAAAGAAGUUCCAAAAAUGAAGGUUUCACCGUUUCAUUGCAAUGUUAUGCUACUUGAACAAAAAAUGCUUUGGAGGUAUCUUAUUCACAUUUUCAUUAUGCUUAUUAAUUGCUUAGACAGUACUAUAUUAUACCAUCAUAUAUCAUAGAUUAAAUAUAAAGGCAAGCUUUAUCCACAGGCACGUUGUUUUCGGAGCUAAAAUAGAACAUUAUCCCUUGAGAAGAAAAAAAAAAUACUCAUUGCAAACAAUAUGUCAUUUAUUACAUUGAUUGUAGUCUCCAACUCUUCACUGAUCAACAACCAACUCAACACCUCAGCUACUUCCUCUCUAAAAUCUAAGCCAAUAUAUAAUUUGUCUGAUUGAACUAACCACAUUAUUGAACAUUUGAACUUAUUCAAAAUAUUUUUGGGAAAAUGUACAACAUUAAAAAUUAAAAUUAAACAACUUAUGGGAAGAAGAAAAAGAUUGCCAUAUAGUAUGAGAUUAGUGAUGAACCAUACUUUCCUUCUCCUCCUACUAACCUUAGUUAUCGCCACUAAUUAAAUUAUAGUCACAAAUAGAAUACAAUAGAGAAGUAUCAAUAAUGUCUCUAUAUAUAAAGAGAAAAAAAUCAUCCCAUGGUCAAAGAUUUCUUGACAACUACAAUUAUCCUUUAGACUUACAGUCGAAAAUAUUGUGAUAACUAUUACAUCAGGUACUUCUUGAUGUAAUACUUAUCGCAAUAUUUUCGAGUAUGAGUAGGAAGGAUAAACUGCGAAAAAUCUUAACCUUAAGAUGCAUGCCAGAAGGUGUUGAUACGAUAGCAUUAGCAAGCAUAGAAGUCAACAAGUUCAUCAAGAGACUCAGGUUGUGGGUCAGUAUUCUCGAGCAUCCAAAGCAAGUGUUCGAAGAGAACAACCUCACAAGCCACAUUAAUGUUAUCAUGUUGGUGUUGUUGUUCAUCACGUGACCUCUCGACGAGUUCCCGGAAAAGUGGGUGGUCGACGACAUCAGAGGUGACACGGUAGAGACGGCGGGACUUGCCAACGUAGACAGGGUGGAGGUCUGAUCUGGAGGAAGGAGAGUCGUCGUGGUUGGCGACGGAGCUGACGCUGUGGUGGCUGUGUUUGGUGCCGAAUGAGUUCCAUUUUUUGAGGACUGAUUUGAGUUUCGUUAGUUUACCACCUUUUGACAUGUUGAAAGAUGUGAAAUGGGUAAAGAGGGAAAGGAAUUGAGUGAAUGAAAGAGAAGAUGCAGAGAGAUGCAGUGGCACAUGGGGAGAGCGAAAGGGGAGGGAAGGUUCCUAUAUAUACUAAAAGAUAUGGAGAGAUGGAAGAGGGGUGAAAUUGUCAAAUUCAUGCAAGUACUAGUAUAGAGUGGGACCCCAACAUAUAUUUCACUAAAUUCUUUGAUGUGUAAUGUGUUAAGUAUUUCUUUUUAUAUGUCAAUAACUAAUUUUUUUAAAGAUCAAUGAUUAUUAUUUUUAAGAAUUGUGUCUUUUGAAAAUUGAAUGAUUUAGAUUUUGAGUUUAUUGGGAUUUAACGAGAUUUUAUAACAUUAAAUCAACAUCUUAUUAAUAAUAUGUUAAAUAUAUUUGCUUGGACUAAUAAUAAUAAAGUAAAAGAAAAAACAAUGGUGAAUAUUUAAAAUUUUAAUCACCUUUAUAUUUUUUAUCAAAUUGAGAAAACGUAUAAUAUAGAUUCUAAGACAAUAGAUUUUUCUAUACAUACACCAUUUUUCUCUUUGAAAAAUAAAGUAGAGUGUUAAUUUUAUACGUAUUCACUCUAUUUCAUUUUUCAGAAAAGAAAAAUAUAAGAUGAGUGUGUUGAAUAUAUAUUGGGAAUGUAUUUCUCACACCUGGAAGGGAAAAACGUUACAUGAGAGUGAGGAAAAGAAAUCCGAGCCUUUAAAUUAAAAUAAAGGGUUCAUGUGUCACCACUCAGAGAAAAUAUUUUUCUAGGAUAUUGAAGAUUAAAUUUUUUUUCUAGGAGAAGGUGAGUUUUUCCCAUGAAAUCUGAGUUGGAUUUAGGUAAGUUACCUAAGACUUUGGUAAAAUUAUCAUUCUUAACCACAUAUUUUGUUUUCUCUUCUUAAUUGUUAUGCCUAAACAUUUUUGUAUUCAGUCACAUAUUCAUAUUUAUCCAACGAAGUGUAAAUUUCAAAACUUUAGUUUCAUACAAUCUAUUCUUUUGGUGUUACCAAUUUUUUUUAUAGACACGAUUGAUAUUCUUAACAAAUGUCAUUUUUAAUAAUCGAAUAUCUUAUCUUUUAAUCUUUGCGGGUAAUAUGAUAUGCAAGGUAUAGUACCAAAAACCAUUUAAUAUGUUGUUUUUUCUUUUAUCUAGAUUACAUGUAUCNNNNNNNNNNNNNNNNNNNNNNNNNNNNNNNNNNNNNNNNNNNNNNNNNNNNNNNNNNNNNNNNNNNNNNNNNNNNNNNNNNNNNNNNNNNNNNNNNNNNAUGACCAAGAGGAUGAAGACGAGGAUGAGGAUAGGAGGAGGACGAGAAUGAGGAUGAGGAUAGGAUAGGAUAGGGAUGUGGAUGACCAAGAGGAUGAAGACGAGGAUGAGGAUAGGAGGAGGACGAGAAUGAGGAUGAGGAUAGGAUAGGAUAGGGAUGUGGAUGACCAAGAGGAUGAAGACGAGGAUGAGGAUAGGAGGAGGACGAGAAUGAGGAUGAGGAUAGGAUAGGAUAGGGAUGUGGAUGACCAAGAGGAUGAAGACGAGGAUGAGGAUAGGAGGAGGACGAGAAUGAGGAUGAGGAUAGGAUAGGAUAGGGAUGUGGAUGACCAAGAGGAUGAAGACGAGGAUGAGGAUAGGAGGAGGACGAGAAUGAGGAUGAGGAUAGGAUAGGAUAGGGAUGUGGAUGACCAAGAGGAUGAAGACGAGGAUGAGGAUAGGAGGAGGACGAGAAUGAGGAUGAGGAUAGGAUAGGAUAGGGAUGUGGAUGACCAAGAGGAUGAAGACGAGGAUGAGGAUAGGAGGAGGACGAGAAUGAGGAUGAGGAUAGGAUAGGAUAGGGAUGUGGAUGACCAAGAGGAUGAAGACGAGGAUGAGGAUAGGAGGAGGACGAGAAUGAGGAUGAGGAUAGGAUAGGAUAGGGAUGUGGAUGACCAAGAGGAUGAAGACGAGGAUGAGGAUAGGAGGAGGACGAGAAUGAGGAUGAGGAUAGGAUAGGAUAGGGAUGUGGAUGACCAAGAGGAUGAAGACGAGGAUGAGGAUAGGAGGAGGACGAGAAUGAGGAUGAGGAUAGGAUAGGAUAGGGAUGUGGAUGACCAAGAGGAUGAAGACGAGGAUGAGGAUAGGAGGAGGACGAGAAUGAGGAUGAGGAUAGGAUAGGAUAGGGAUGUGGAUGACCAAGAGGAUGAAGACGAGGAUGAGGAUAGGAGGAGGACGAGAAUGAGGAUGAGGAUAGGAUAGGAUAGGGAUGUGGAUGACCAAGAGGAUGAAGACGAGGAUGAGGAUAGGAGGAGGACGAGAAUGAGGAUGAGGAUAGGAUGAGGACGAGGAUGAGGAUAGGAUAAGGAAGAGGAUGAGGAUAAGGAAGAGGAAAGGAUGAGCAUGAGGAUGAGGACGAUGAUAGGAUUAGGAGUAGAAUGAGGAUGAGGAUGAGGGUGAGGAUAAGGAUGAGGAUGAAGACGAGAAUGAGGAUGAGGAUGAGGAUAAGAUGGGGAUGAGGAUAGGAUGAGGAUGAGGAUGAGCAAGAGGAAGAGGACGAGGAUGAGGAUAAGAGGAGGACGAAAAUGACCAUGAGGAUGAGGAAAAGAAUGCGGAUGAGGAUGAGCAUGAGGAUGAGGAUAGGAUGAGGAUUAGGCCGAGGAUAGGAUGAGGACGAGAAUGAGGAUGGGGAAGAGGAAGAGGAUGAGGAUAGGAUGAGGACGAGAAUGAGGAUGAGGAGGAGAAGGAGGAUGAGGAUGAGAAUAGGAUGAGGAUGAGGAAGAGGAUAGGAUAAGAAUGAGGAGGAGGAGGAGAAUGUGGAAGAGGAUGAGGAUGAGGAAGAGGAUGAGGAUGAGGACAGGGAUAGGACGAGGACGAGAAUGAGGAUGAGGUUGAGGAUGAGGAUAGGAUGAGGAUGAGGAUGAGGUUAGGAUGAGGAUGAGGAUGAGGAAGAGAGAGAAUGAGAAUGAGGAUAGGAUGAGGAUGAGCAUGAGGAUAGGAUGAGGAGGAGAAUGAGGAUGAGGACGAGGAUAAAGAAGAGGAUGAGGACGAGAAAGAGGAUGAGCAUAGGAUGAGGACGAGAAGGAGAAAGAGAAUGAGGAUAAGAUGAGGACGAGAAGGAGAAAGAGAAUGAGGAUAAGAUGAGGAUGAGGACGAGGAUGAGGAUAGGAGGAAGAUGAGGACGAGAAGGAGAAAGAGAAUGAGGAUAAGAUGAGGACGAGAAGGAGAAAGAGAAUGAGGAUAAGAUGAGGAUGAGGACGAGGAUGNNNNNNNNNNNNNNNNNNNNNNNNNNNNNNNNNNNNNNNNNNNNNNNNNNNNNNNNNNNNNNNNNNNNNNNNNNNNNNNNNNNNNNNNNNNNNNNNNNNNGGAGGAUGAGGAGGAGGAGGAGGAUGAGGAUGAGGACUUGGAUGAGGAUGAGGAGGAGGAGGAGGAGGAGGAGGAUGAGGAUGAGGACUUGGAUGAGGACUUGGAUGAGGAUGAGUAUGAGGAGGGGGAUAGGAUGAGGACGAGAAUGAGGAUGAGGAUGAGGAUAGGAUGAGGAUGAGAAUGUGGAAGAGGAUGAGGAUGAGGAUGAGGAUGAGGAUAAGGAUAGGAUGAGGAUGAGGAUAAGAAUAGGAUGAGGAAGACGAUGAGGAUGAGGAUAGGAUGAGGAGGAGAACGAGGAAGAGGAUGAGGAUAGGAUGUGGAUGAGGACGAGGAUGAGGAUAGGAUGAGGAUGAGGAAGUGGAUGAGGAUAAGGAAGAGGGUAGGAUGAGGAUGAGGAUGAGGAUGACGAUGAAGAUACGAUAAGGAUGAGGAAGAGGAUGAGGAUAAAGAGGAGGACAGGAUGAGGACGAGAAUGAGAAUGAGGAUAGGAUGAGGAUGAGGACGGGGAUAGGAUGAGGAGUAGAAUGAGGAUGAGGNNNNNNNNNNNNNNNNNNNNNNNNNNNNNNNNNNNNNNNNNNNNNNNNNNNNNNNNNNNNNNNNNNNNNNNNNNNNNNNNNNNNNNNNNNNNNNNNNNNNUAGGAUGAGGAUGAGAAUGAGGAUGAGGAUAAGAAGAGGAUGAGAAUGAGGAUGAGGAUAGGAUGAGGAAGAGGCUGACGAUAGGAUGAGAAUGAUGAUAGGAUGAGGACGAGCAUAAGGAUGAGGAUAGGAUGUGGAUGAGGACGAGGAUGAGGAAGAGGAUAGGAUAAGAUGAUGACGAGAAUAAGGAAGAGGAUAGGAAUAGAAUGAGAAUGAGGAAGAGGAUGAGGAUGAGCAUGAGGAAGAGGAAGAGGAUAAGGAUAGGAUAGGAUGAGGAUGAGGAUGAGGAUAGGAUGUGGACGAGAAUGAGGAUAAGGAUAGGAUAAGGAUGAGGAUAAGGAUGAGGACAGGAUGAAGACGAGAAUGAGGACGAGGAUAUGAUGUGGAUGAGGAUGAGGAUGAGGAUGUGGAUGAGGAUGAGGAUGAUGAAGAGGAUAGGAUGAGGAUGAGGAUGAGAUGUGGAUGCGGAUGAUGAUGAGGAUGAGGAUAGGACGAGGAUGAGGAUAAGGACGAGGAUGAGGAUAGGAUGAGGAGGUGGAUGAGGAAGAUGAAGAGGAUGAGGAUGAGGAUGAGCAUGAGGAUGUGGAGAGGAUGAGGACGAGCAUGAGGAUGAGGAUAGGAUGUGGAUUAGGACGAGGAUGAGGAUAGGAUGAGCACGAGAAUGGGGAUGAGGAUAGGAUGAAGGAUGAGGAUGAGGAAAGGAUGAGGACGAGCAUGAGGAUGCGGAUAGGAUGUGGAUGAAGACGAGGAUGAGGAUAGGAUGAUGAUGUGGAUGAGGAUAAUAUGAAGAUGAGGAUGAGGAUAUGAUAGGAUGUGGAUGAGGACGAGGAUGNNNNNNNNNNNNNNNNNNNNNNNNNNNNNNNNNNNNNNNNNNNNNNNNNNNNNNNNNNNNNNNNNNNNNNNNNNNNNNNNNNNNNNNNNNNNNNNNNNNNCAUGAGGAUGAGGAUGAGGAUGAGGAAGGGAGGAGGAGGAGGAUGAGGAUGAGGAUGAGGAUGAGGAUAGGAUGAGAAGGAGGAUGAGGAUUGGAUGAGGAUGAGGAUAGGAUGAGGAGGAGAAUGAGCAUGAGGAUAAGAUGAGGAUGAGGAUGAGGACGAGAAUGAGGAUGAGGAUGAUGAUAGGAUGAGGACGAGAAUGAGGAGGAGGAUGAGGUAGAGGACGACGAUAGGAUGAAGAUGAGGAUAGGACGAGGAUGAGGAUGAGGACGAGAACGGGGAUGAGGAUGAGGAUAGGAUAUGAUGAGGACGAGGAUGAGGAUGAGGAUAGGACGAGGACGAGGACGAGAAUGAGGAUUGGAUGAGGAUUGGAUGAGAAUGUUGAGGAGGAAGAGGAUGAGGAUGAGGAUGAGGAUUGGAUGAGGACGAGAAUGAGGAUGAGGAUGAGGAUAGGAUGAGAAUGAGGAAGAGGAUGAGGAUAGGAUAAGGACGAGGAUAGGAUGAGGAUGACAAUGUGGAAGACGAUUCAGAUGAGGAUAAGAUGAGGACGACAAUGAGGAUGAUGAUGAGGAGGAGGAUAGGAUGAGGACGAGCAUGAGGAUGACGAUAGGAUGAGGACGAGAAUGAGGAUGAGGAUGAGGAAAGGAUGAGGAUGAUUAUGAGGAUGAGGAUGAGGAUGAGGAUGAGGACGAGAAUGAGGAUGAGGAUAAGGAUAGGAUGAGGAUGAGGUUAGGAUAAGGAUGAGAAUGUGGAGGAGGAAGAGGAUGAGGAUAGGAUGAGGACGAGAAUGAGGAUGAGGANNNNNNNNNNNNNNNNNNNNNNNNNNNNNNNNNNNNNNNNNNNNNNNNNNNNNNNNNNNNNNNNNNNNNNNNNNNNNNNNNNNNNNNNNNNNNNNNNNNNCAACAAAAUGGUGUUGUAGAGAGAAAGAAUAGGUCUUUAGAAGAACUGGCUCGAACAAUGUUAAAUGAAACUAACCUCCCAAAAUAUUUCUGGGCAGAUGCAGUAAGUACUGCUUGUUAUGUUUCGAACCGAGUUCUCAUAAGACCUAUUCUCAAGAAAACCCCCUAUUAACUCUUUAAAGGUAGAAAACCAAACGUUUCUCAUUUGCAUGUAUUUGGUUAUAAGUGUUUUGUUUUAAAUAAUGGAAAGAAUAACUUGGGAAAAUUUGAUGCAAAAGCAGAUGAAUGGAUCUUCCUAGGCUACUCUCUUACGAGUAAAGUUUACAGAAUUUUUAAUAAGAGAACACAAGCCAUGGAAGAAUCUGGUCAUGUAUCUUUUGAUGAAACCAAUAUUGAGAUAAAAGGUGUUAUAACUCCUGAUGAGGAGGAACUGCCAAGUUCUUCUUCAAAUGAAAUUUCCAUUAUUGAAUCUACAACUGAUACUGAGCAAUUGAAAAUGAAUGAUAACCUACCAUCUCAAGAGGAGCAUACUCAUUCAGAUUUACCAAAAUAAUGGAGAACUUAUCGAUACCAUCCAAUUGACAAUAUUAUUACUGAAUUAAAUCCGGGUAUCACAACCCGACGAAUGCUUGAUAAAGCUUGUCUUAACACGACCUUCGUCUCUCAAAUCGAACCCUCCAAGAUUGAUGAAGCAAUUGAGGAUGAACACUAGAUUCUUGCUAUACAGGAAGAAUUAAACUAGUUUGAGAGAGACGAAGUUUGGGAACUUGUUCCCAGACCUAAAAAUAUGCAUGUUAUUGGAACUCAGUGGGUAUUUAGAAAUAAAUAUGAUGAAAAUGGUAUAAUAGUUAGAAAUAAAGCUAGACUAGUAGCCCAAGGAUACAACCAGGAAGAAGGUAUCGAUUUUGAUGAUUCUUUUGCUCCGGUUGCUAGACUUGAAGCUAUUAGGCUAUUACUUGCAUAUGAUUGCUCUUUGAAUUUUCAGUUAUAUCAAAUGGAUGUAAAGAGUACUUUCCUCAACGGCUACAUUCAAGAAGAAGUGUUUGUUGAACAACCUCCUGGUUUUGAAGAUUACAAACAUACUUCUUAUGUCUACAAAUUAAUGAAAGCUCUCUAUGGCUUAAAGCAAGCUCCUUGCGCAUGGUAUGAUCGUCUACCUAAAUUUCUACUUGAAAAAUGUUUCAACAAAGGAAAGGUCGACAAUACUCUCUUCAUAAAGACAAUAAAUCAUCAUACUUUACUUGUUCAAAUUUAUGUAGAUGAUAUUACUUUCGAUUCUACUAAUGAGUUGUUAUGUAGUGAUUUUGGCAAUNNNNNNNNNNNNNNNNNNNNNNNNNNNNNNNNNNNNNNNNNNNNNNNNNNNNNNNNNNNNNNNNNNNNNNNNNNNNNNNNNNNNNNNNNNNNNNNNNNNNGAUGUGUCUAUAGAAUUUGUUGAUACUCAUAACCAACUAGCAGAUAUAUUCACAAAACCUUUGGCAAAAGAACCUUUCUAUAAAAUUAGACGAGAAUUAUGCAUUCUUGAUGAAGCAUAUUUAACUUAAAUGCCUAUAUAUGACUAUAUGUAUGCUUCAUUAUAUCUAUUUCAUGCCUACUUGAACUUAAAUGUGUUUAUUUAUGUUUAAAAUUUUCAAUUUUUGGGUUAAAAAUCAUUUUCAUAGCUUAAUUUUGCCUAAAAAUAAGUUUUUCUGGGUUCAGUAAUCGAUUACACUGGAGAGUAACCGAUUACAGGGUUGAACAUCGUAUUUCAGUAACCGAUUACCCAAAGUGAGUAAUCGAUUACUCUGAGUUGCUGUUUGAAAAAUUUUAAAUUUUUUAAUUUGAGUAACCGAUUACUCAAAAUGAGUAACCGAUUACUCUGUAUUGUUAUAUAUGUAUUUUUUGCAUUUUUCUUACUUUUUCAAACUCAUCUUCCUCACGCAACUCGUGAGGGAAAGAAAUUCGAGUCUUUAAAUUAAAAUAAAGGGUUCAUGUGUCACCACUCUAUAUAUAGAGAAAACUUUUUUUCUAGGAUAUUGAAGAUUAAAUUAAUUUCUUAUAUAAUCUGGGUUUUACAAUUUGUCAACAAGCAAUUUUUUUUAUCAAUACAUUUAUUAUUAUAAAUUAAUAAUCAUAAAUAUAUUAAUUACAUAUUUAAAAUAUAUAAAAUUAUAAUAAAAAUAUGGUAUAAGUUGAAAAUAUAAAUUAUUGCUAAUUGUAAAAUAAGGGGAAAAUAUUUUACAUCCCAUUUCAAUAAGUUUUCAAUUAAAUAUUAUAUUAAGAUGAUUGAAUAACAUAAAGUCCAUUAAUAUUUUUCUCUAAUCAACAUGUGUUGAUUUAAGUGAGUGUUUGAGUAUGAGAAAAUCGAUUUCAUUCUUCUUAACUAAUGACAUAAUUAUUGAGUUGAGCUGAUCAAUAGUAUUAGAAUAUGAGAAGAAUUAAAUUUGUUUAUUACAAAAUAAUUUCAAAUCAUAGUUGUUAAAGAUUAUUGUUGUCAUGUGUUACAAUUUCCUUUAAUUGUAGACUCUUUCAUACCAGAAAAGAUUCUCAUCCAUAAUUAUUACACUUAGGUGAAGGAAGCAGCGAUCUCAUUUUCUUCAAGAAGCUUUGGGUGAGUAAUGUCCCAUCAAAGAUGAAGUGCCUAGUAUGGAAAAUUGCUUUGGAUGGUAUUCCAACUAAACUCAACCUAGAUCAUAGAGGGGGUUUAGGAGUACAUGACUCCCUUUUGUGUGCUUUUUGUGGUGAGUUGGAGAAAUCCACUAGUCACUUGUUCUUUUCUUGCCCAACAUCUUACAUAAUUUGGCAAAGACUCUAUUCUUACUUUGGACUUACCUCUAUUAUUCAUAAUGAAGUAAAGACCCAUUUGUCAAUUCAUGCAUCUUUGUUACGGAUGGACAACAAGAAAAUUCAUUUGUGGAUGGAGAACAAGCGUUUUCACCUUGAUGAGAUGAUGGAGCUUAUUUUGCUACAUUCUUGGAGUCUUAUCAAUGUCCGCUUCCCUUUCUUUUCUUUUUCUCUAGCUGAUUGGUUGAGGAAUCCUUCAAAUGGUAUUCUUCCCUUCCCUUUCUUUUCUUUUUCUCUAGCUGUUUGGUUGAGAAAUCAUUCAAAUGGUAUUCUUCCGUAUUAUUUGUAGGGAUUUAGUGGAUAGGAGUACCACUUGUUCUCCUAAUUUUUCUUUAUCUCUAUAUUAAUUCUCUUAUUGCUGAUAAAAAAAAAACUUGUGAAAAUAUUUAGAAACCUCACUUAGGUUGUAUGUUAUAAAAAAUUAUAAAGUGGUAAGGGUAUAUACUUAGAAGUAGAAUAAUAAAAAUGUUGAGAGUUCAAAUUUUAUUAAUUACAAAAUAUUAAUAUACUAACAUUUGUCGAUAAAAAGAUAUUAUGUCCUCUUUUGUUUUGGAGAUAUAUUGUCCAAUUUGAAAAAAAUAAUAGGUUCUCACAGAUGACAAAUAUUUUGAAAAAUACAAAAUGGUUUUAUGAUUUCAAAGUAAACCGUUAUUAGCACACUAUAUAUAUAUAUAUACUAAAUACAGUUUUCAUCCCUUUUUUGAAGUAUAUCUAAAACUAAAUUCAUUAUAUGCAACUUAAUAAAAACAUAUUAGAAAUUAUGUUGCUGCCAUUUGGAUUUUGGACACUGUUGUGAAUACAUUGGCUUCACAGCUCUAUUCUGAUUCGGUGAACUGUCGUUUGCCUAAGUUCUUUCAUUUUCGUUUACUUUUCUCAAAUUCUUUUGUUUAAGCUUUGUUGUGUCUUUUGGAGUACAAUUUAAAAAGUUACAGAUUAAUUCUUUUUCUUCGUUUACAUGUGGUUAUCGUUACUUUUUUUCUUCAAUAAUACAAAGAUAUAGAAUCUUCCUGUAUAAAUUGUUAACCAAAACUUAAGGUUGAAAAUAACAAAAAUAAGCUAUUUAUGUAGGGAUGAGAAAGGGGAGGAUUGAGAGUAGAUUUGUGCUUACAUAACCCCUGCAUUUUGUACUUGAACGCAACGGGUUUAAAAAAAUAUAUCAUUCUUGUUUCCGUGGGGUUUCACAUAAAUCUAACUUGUAUCUAACUGACCGAAAUGUGCCUCUUACUAUUCUGUAUAUUACUAUCACUUAUCACAUUUAGCAAUAGGGUUUGGAUAGGAGAAGGUGAGUUUUUCCCAUGAAAUUUGAGUUGGAUUUAGGUAAGUUACCUAAGACUUUGGUAAAAUUAUCAUUCCUAACCACAUGUUUUGUUUUCUCUUCUUAAUUGUUAUGCCUAAACAUUUUUGUAUUCAGUCACAUGUUCAUAUUUAUCCAACCAAGUGUAAACUUUAAAACUUUAGUUUCAUACAAUCUAUUUUUUUGGUUUACCAAUUUUUUUCCAGAAUUCACGAUUGACAUUCUCAACAAAUGUCACUUUUAAGAAUUGAAUAUCUAAUCUUUUAAUUUUUGCGGGUAGUUUCAUACAAUAUGAUAUGCAAUGUAUAGUACCAAAAACCAUUUAACAUGUUGUUUUUUCUUUUAUCUAGAUUACAUGUAUCUUUAGCUAAAAUAUUUCAUUUAUUUAUAAGAAUCAAAUUCAAGAGUUGGCUCAAGUAAAAUGAAGCAUUUAAUAAUACAUGAAUAUGUUGUUUAAGUAAUUCCUUUAUCCGCUAGGACCACACACGUGCUAUAUGAAACAUAAGUUCAGAAUAAAGAAGUUCCUGAACCAAACCAAAAACAAGGUUUAUUGCUUGUCAUCAAAUACUAAUAUAAAUUAUCUAAUUACUUCAUAUUUCCGAGUAGGUCAAACUCUAUCAACAUAAAAAAUAUAUAUAUAUAUAUAUAUAUAUAUAUAUGAGUAUAAAAUCUAUGCAUUGUCCGUAUAAAGAUUUAUACACAUGCAUUUCAUCCUCCACUAUUCAUUUAGAUUACUUUUUUCAAUAACAAUUAAAAAUCACUAGUAAAUGAUACAAUGACAGUGUAUAAAAUUCAUACAUUAUCAGUGCAUACAUCUUUUUCUCUCUAUGUAUGAAGGGGAUCACUUGUCCCUAAUGGUAACAUGUUUCCUGUCUCAGACUAAUCACAUAUUGUCACAUGAAUAAAAGAAAUUGUUUAAAAUUAAAACAAUUUACCUGAGACAAAAAAAUGAAACAUCAUUUAAGACAAAUAAUAUUUUUCCUAUUAAAUAUAUGACAUUUCAUUCCUUACAAAUAGAUCCCAACAAAAUCGCUACACCUAUAUUUUAAAACUAGAGAAACAGUAUUACACUAAAGUUACCGCAAGAUCUAUUAUUAAUUAUUAUAAACUCUUAAAAUAAAAAUAAAAUAUAUGAAUCAUAAUAAUAUAUUAACAUUGUAAUAAUGUACUGACAAUAUUAAACUAUAUUGAUAGUGUAAAAACAUACUAAUAAUAUAAAAACUAGUAGAUAGGUGCAUAAAUUUUACACUGUAUCUAUGCUUAGAAGAUGUAAAAAUGUGUGUCAGUCGUUAUAAAUUUAUGUAUUUUAAAAACCAUAUUUUUAUGAGUAAAUUACCUUUGAUAAUUCUUGAAUCAUUUUAUUCAAGUUUUCCUCUCUUCCACUCUCAGAAUAUGUUUUAAAUAUUAAUUAUCAGUCAUUCUGAACGUUUGCUAGUAAUAGUUUCUCUUUAAUAAUGAUAUUUCCACAAUUUAACAUAACUUUUUACAUUAGAAAAACAUAUAUUCUUGAAAAAAGAAUAGAUAUAUUCUAGCAUUCACAUUCUUCACUUUUAAUCGUGAAGAAGAUCUUUGCUCCUAACUUUGACAAAGUUUUGAUGAAGACACCAAUAUCACCAAAAGAAGAAAAGGAAGAUUACUUAUGAAGACCAAAAAUAUUAAAACUUCAAUUAAAAUUAGUCUAAGUCUAAAUAUGUACUUCUAUCAUAUACUCUUUAAUAUAUUAAAGUAGUAAUGCUCAAAAUAUUUUAAAAGAAAUUGAAACACUUCAAGUUUUAAAGGAAAACAUUUUCUAAAAUAAUGUGUAAUACGUUACUGAAAUUUGAGUAACAAGUUACAUGAGUGAGAAUCAGUUAUUUAACAAUAUUUAAAUUGGAGUAACCGAUUACUCAAAAUUGAGUAACCGAUUACUCUAAAAGAAUUUUAUAUUCAUUGUUGGACAGAGAGUUUGAGUAACCGAUUACUCAAUGUAAUUUUUCAAAAUGUCACAUUUGGGUAACCGAUUACCCACUUGUUGUAAUCGGUUAAUGAGAGUUGUUACAUCAGUUUUUCAGAUUUGAAACUCACGGGUUUUCAUCCCAAACGAAAUGUCUUCAUUCCAAACAAUUCAUACUCUUUCAUAAAGACACAAAGACUAAUUGGAAAGCCUAUUUAAAGGUCUUAGAACUCACAAUGAAAACAACUUUUUGAACAACUCUUUCAUAACUUUUUCACACUUUUCUCACAACUUUCCUACACUUUUAUGAAAUAGUUUUCUUAACUUCUAGCAACUUGAACUCAAAAUUUCAAAGCUAUUUUUCUGAGUUGCUUGAAGCAAAAUAUUUCAAAGUUUUGUAAACUUAAAAGAACAUUAUUUACUAAGUAUACAAAAGAGUUGAUUGGAUUGCGAGUGUUAUUAUAUUUCAUACUUGUAAAGACAAUCCAAGUCAUCAUUCAAAUUCCUCAUUCAUUGUAAUUACUUUCUUUCACGGAGUGUGAAUAGAAAGGGGAUAGAGUUACAUGGAAAUGUGUUUUCCAAGGUGAUAAGUAUUAGUGAGUGUGUAAGGUACAUAGAGAUCUCGAUGUGAGAUAUUGUAAUUACAACUCAUAAUAUUUAGUGGAAAAUCUCUUGUGAUGCAAGAGUAUUGAACGUAGCCUUCGGUGGACAAGAAGGUGAACCAGUAUAAAAUCCUUGUGUACUCUCUUCUCUCUUACCUCUUUGAUUUAUUCUUGUUUAUUUUCUGCAAUAUUAUCCGCUGCACUUUAACUCUUCAUUUUGCAGAAAAAGUUGUCAUAAUUUCUAGUGAACUAAUUCACCCCUCCUCUUAGUUGCAAUCUCAGUCUUACAAUUGACACCAGAGCUAUUUUUGAGUAAGAUAUUCUCAAACUUGAUCCUACAUCAAAGAUGGCCGCAGAAUCAUUCAUAGGAGAAGGUUCUAACAUAAACCGCCCUCCAAGUUUUGUUGGAGAAUGCUAUGGCUUAUGGAAAAUCAGAAUGAGGAUAUUCAUAGAAACCCAAGACUUGGAUAUAUGGAACACAAUUGAAAAAGAACCCUAUGAACCCUUCACAGUUAUAAACAGUUUAAGAGAAAUAAAGUCCAAAUUUUUAUGGAAUGAUGAAAACAAGAACAAGGUGCAAUAUGACAUAAAGGCAAAGAACAUACUCACUUCUGCUCUUGGAAUUGAUGAGUUCUUUAGAGUAUCUAACUGUAAAUCCGCCAAGGAAAUGUGGGAUACUCUAGAGANNNNNNNNNNNNNNNNNNNNNNNNNNNNNNNNNNNNNNNNNNNNNNNNNNNNNNNNNNNNNNNNNNNNNNNNNNNNNNNNNNNNNNNNNNNNNNNNNNNNAUUCACCCAUCUUACAAAUCACCUUCUUGCUCUUGUUAAGGUAUUAUCUAUCAGUGACUUGAACUUGAAAGUUCUAAGAUCACUUACCAAAACAUGGCAACCAAAGGUAACAGCCAUUUNUUUCUGAAAAGAAAAGUUUAUCAAAAAUGUCUUUGACUGCGUUAUUUGGAAAAUUGCAGGAACAUGAGUUAGAACUCAACCAACUGGAUCAACAUGAAGAACAGGAGAAGAAAAAUAAAAAUACUUCUCUAAAAGCAAAAGUUGACAAAUAUGAGUCAUCAAAGGAUGAAUCCGAUAAAGAAGAGAUAGAAGACAUCAGUAUUCUUGUGAAUAAAAUCAACAAAUUCCUCUAAAGGAAUAAAGGUGGUAGAACUAGACAAAUAAGAAAGUUCACCAAGAACAACGAUGCCUCUACUUNNNNNNNNNNNNNNNNNNNNNNNNNNNNNNNNNNNNNNNNNNNNNNNNNNNNNNNNNNNNNNNNNNNNNNNNNNNNNNNNNNNNNNNNNNNNNNNNNNNNCGAAUGUGGCAAGACUGGUCACAUGAAGAUGGAUUGUCCAAAUUUGAAAAAGAAUUCAUUCAAGGGAAAUAAUGAAAUAAAGACCGGAAGAAGAGCAUACAUAGCUUGGGAAGACAAUGAUACCAGUUCCGUCUCUGAACCAGAAAAUGAGGAAUAAGCACAUCUCUCCUUAAUGACAUCUCAUCAUUCUGAUGAUAUAGAGGUAAAUGACUCAAAACUAUAUUCUUAUGAAUUACAAAUUGCAUUCAAUGACCUGCAUGAUGAGUACAUCAAACUCACAAAAAUGUUUUUAAAACAUAAAACUGAGUUAGAUUCAUUUAGAAACAAACUUUCAUUAUCUUCAUGUCAAAAUUGUAUUACUCUUUAAAACAAAGUUACAACAUUAAAUCUUGAACUUAAUAAGAUAAGUAAGAGCAGUAAAAGUUUAAAUAGAAUCAUCAAUGAUCAACGACACUCAACAUAUCGAAGAGGUCUUGGCUAUUCAAAAGGCCAUGGUUCUAAGAAACCUAGUGUCCCAAUUAAGAUAAACUNNNNNNNNNNNNNNNNNNNNNNNNNNNNNNNNNNNNNNNNNNNNNNNNNNNNNNNNNNNNNNNNNNNNNNNNNNNNNNNNNNNNNNNNNNNNNNNNNNNNAAAUUAAUGAAAGCUCUCUAUGGCUUAAAGCAAGCUCCUUGCGCAUGGUAUGAUCGUCUACCUAAAUUUCUACUUGAAAAAUGUUUCAACAAAGGAAAGGUCGACAAUACUCUCUUCAUAAAGACAAUAAAUCAUCAUACUUUACUUGUUCAAAUUUAUGUAGAUGAUAUUACUUUCGAUUCUACUAAUGAGUUGUUAUGUAGUGAUUUUGGCAAUAUGAUCCAAGGAGAGUUUGAAAUGUCUAUGAUGAGGAAGUUAAAUUACUUCCUUGGAUUACAAAUCAAACAGUUUGACAAUGGUAUUUUUGUAAGUCAAUCCAAAUACUGCAAAGAUUUGCUAAAUUUUUUUGACAUGGAUGGAUGCAAGUAAAUAACUACUCCUAUGGAAUAUGGAACUUACAUCGAUACAGAUGAAGCAUGAAAAUCCAUCGAGAUAUCAAACUAUCGAGGUAUGAUUGGAUCUCUUUUAUACUUAACUAUCAGUAGACCUGAUAUCAUGUUUAGUGUGUAUAUGUGUGCUCGAUAUCAAUCCAAACCAAAAGAAUCACACUUAGUUGAUGUUAAGAUAAUCAUGAAAUAUCUUAAAGGCACAACUAAUGUUGGACUGUGGUAUCCAAAGGAAAGUAUAUGUGACUUGGUUGGAUAUUCAUAUUCAGAUUUUACAGGAUACAAAACUGAGAGGAAANNNNNNNNNNNNNNNNNNNNNNNNNNNNNNNNNNNNNNNNNNNNNNNNNNNNNNNNNNNNNNNNNNNNNNNNNNNNNNNNNNNNNNNNNNNNNNNNNNNNUAGUCCUAAGCACUGUUGAAGCUGAAUAUAUUGCAGCAGGUAGUUGUUGCACCCAAGUGUUGUGGCUUAAGCAACAAUUACGAGAUUAUGGUUUAGAUUUGGGUUGCACUCCUCUAAAGUGUAACAAUACUCGUGCAAUAAACCUCACAAGGAAUCCGGUUAUGCAUUGAAGAACCAAACACAUUGAUAUAAAACAUCAUUUCCUUAGGGACCAUGUCCAAAAGAAUGAUGCGUCUUUAGAAUUUGUUGAUACUCAUAACCAACUAGUAGAAUAAUUCACUAAACCUUUGGCAAAAGAACCUUUCUAUAAAAUUAGACNNNNNNNNNNNNNNNNNNNNNNNNNNNNNNNNNNNNNNNNNNNNNNNNNNNNNNNNNNNNNNNNNNNNNNNNNNNNNNNNNNNNNNNNNNNNNNNNNNNNUGAGGAUAGGAUGGGGAUGAGGAUGAGGACGAGGAUGACGACGAGAAUCAGGUUGAGGAUAGGAUGAGGACGAGGAUGAGGAUAGGAUGAGGUUGAGGAUGUGGAUUAGGAUGAGGAUGAGGAUGAUGAUGAGGAUAGGAUGAGGACGAGGAUGAGGAUAGGAUGAGGACGAGGAUGAGGAUAGGAUGAGGACGAGGAUGAGGAUAGGAUGAGGACGAGGAUGAGGAUAGGAUGAGGACGAGGAUGAGGAUAGGAUGAGGACGAGGAUGAGGAUAGGAUGAGGACGAGGAUGAGGAUAGGAUGAGGACGAGGAUGAGGAUAGGAUGAGGACGAGGAUGAGGAUAGGAUGAGGACGAGGAUGAGGAUAGGAUGAGGACGAGGAUGAGGAUAGGAUGAGGACGAGGAUGAGGAUAGGAUGAGGACGAGGAUGAGGAUAGGAUGAGGACGAGGAUGAGGAUAGGAUGAGGACGAGGAUGAGGAUAGGAUGAGGACGAGGAUGAGGAUAGGAUGAGGACGAGGAUGAGGAUAGGAUGAGGACGAGGAUGAGGAUAGGAUGAGGACGAGGAUGAGGAUAGGAUGAGGACGAGGAUGAGGAUAGGAUGAGGACGAGGAUGAGGAUAGGAUGAGGACGAGGAUGAGGAUAGGAUGAGGACGAGGAUGAGGAUAGGAUGAGGACGAGGAUGAGGAUAGGAUGAGGACGAGGAUGAGGAUAGGAUGAGGACGAGGAUGAGGAUAGGAUGAGGACGAGGAUGAGGAUAGGAUGAGGACGAGGAUGAGGAUAGGAUGAGGACGAGAAUGAGGACGAGGAUAGGAUGNNNNNNNNNNNNNNNNNNNNNNNNNNNNNNNNNNNNNNNNNNNNNNNNNNNNNNNNNNNNNNNNNNNNNNNNNNNNNNNNNNNNNNNNNNNNNNNNNNNNAUAUAUAUAUAUAUAUAUGAGUAUAAAAUCUAUGCAUUGUCCGUAUAAAGAUUUAUACACAUGCACUUCACCAUCCACUAUUCAUUUAGAUUACUCUUUUCAAUAACAAUUAAAAAUCAAUAGUAAAUGAUACAAUGACAGUGUAUAAAAUUCAUACACUAUCAGUGCAUACAUCUUUUUCUCUCUAUGUAUGAAGGGGAUUACUUGUCCCUAAUGGUAACAUGUUUCCUGUCUCAGACUAAUCACAUAUUGUCACAUGAAUAAAAGAAAUUGUUUAAAAUUAAAACAAUUUACCUGAGACAAAAAAAUGAAACAUCAUUUAAGACAAAUAAUAUUUUUCCUAUUAAAUAUAUGACAUUUCAUUCCUUACAAAUAGAUCCCAACAAAAUCGCUACACCUAUAUUUUAAAACUAGAGAAACAGUAUUACACUAAAGUUACCGCAAGAUCUAUUAUUAAUUAUUAUAAACUCUUAAAAUAAAAAUAAAAUAUAUGAAUCAUAAUAAUAUAUUAACAUUGUAAUAAUGCACUGACAAUAUAAAACUAUAUUGAUAAGUGAUAUUAUUUGUUAACUUAAUUCCUAUAAUUUAAUUGUAAAUCUGCCCAUGAACCUUUGGAGCAAAUAGAAAAUGUCAUGCAUAUAUUAUUUUUAAUAUUAUUUGCAAUGCAAAUAAUUAAAUAAAUUUGAAAUUAACUAAUAAUUAUGAUCAUAUAAUUAAUUUUGAAGCCUCUGUGUGCCCGAAAUGAAACAUUGUUAGUUUGAAUAAAUAAAAGCUAAGGUGGAUUAUGUAUAUACGUCACUGAGUUUAAAAGAAACACAUGAGUUUAUGUUUAUAUAUAUAUAUAUAUAUAUAUAUGAGUGUAUAAAGAUUUAUAUAUAAUUAGUAUUUUUUUUGAAGAGACAAUAAUUAUUAAAUUGAAAGAUAACUGAUAUACCAAAAUUGUAAACAACUUUUACACAACAUUUUUUUUACUCUUGUAUUAAUUGCUUCGUGUUUGUGAGCAAAAGGGACAUGCAUGUGCAAGUAUGUUGCCAAUUACUCACAAAGAGUCCAAUCUAUUCUUGACAUAGUAGUAUUUCCAAGUAUAAAGUCACAUCGCUUUCUUCUUCCUCCUUUUCUUAGUUUUAAAUUUUAUAUUUUGGGGUUACAAAGACAAAGACAGUACCUCACUCUCUUAAGAACUGGCACCAACCAACUUGUGCUAACUACCUUCGUUUUAAAUUAGCAAUAAUAGUAAAGUGAGGGUUAAUAUUCUCCCACAUUUCUUAAGUAAAUGGAGAAUAUCUUAAUCAUCCAAUGAUUUAUUGACAUAAUAUAAUAAUGGAUUAAAUUUUAGUUAAAAAUGAUGACAAUGAGAGAAAGAACAAGAAAUUAAGAGGAUCUCCACCAUCCAAUGAAUAUGGACUCCCAUGAUCUAUUUAUUAAGGUAAUUAAAAAUGUUAUUUUGCAUGAUUGAGAGGUUUUUGAUGGAGAUGUACUAACUUAUCUACGAGGGUUUGUUUUUCUUCUCUAUUCUUAAAAUGUUUAUAAAAUUGUCAAGGGAGUUGAUGAAAAGUAAAAGAUCAAUGGUUGUGGUAUGGUUUAAGUAUGAAUAAAUCAAUUUUUUGUGUUUAGAUAGUUAAUCAGAGCUUUCAUUUAUGGUUACAAAUAACUAGGCUUAUUGGGAGAGUUUUUGUUCAAUUAAUUUUGAGUUUUCCUAAUUUACCCUGUUUUUUUUAUCGAGAAUUGUUAGUACGUUAAUUGUUAUAUUACUCUAUAUUGCUUUUUUUACUAUUUUAUUUAAGAGAUAGUAAUGAUUAAUAUAUAAAUAGUGUAUGUUAUGGUGGUAGUGCAACAAUGCAUACAUUAUUUUCACUUUGCAAAUAAUAUAUGAGAAAAAAUAUAUGCACUGAUGGUCUAAUAGAUUUAUACAUUAUCACUGUAUCAUUUACGUUCAUAUUUAGUCAUUAUUAACUCUUUAGAAAAAGUAAUAUAAAUGAAUAUUAGAUAAUAUACUGAAUGUAUAUAAAUUUCUGUACUAACAAUGCUUAUAUAUAUUAUACUCACAAUAUAUUGUUCUACAAAGUUUCAAGCUGAGAAAGUGUUUAAUUAAAUGCUCCAGUCCAUGAUUGUUGUGCCAAUAAUUCCAACCUUUUAAUAUUAAUUCAUUAAUUCUCCACCUUGCAUGAGUUGCAUCUUCCACUACUAGUCCCUAUUCGUUUCAUGAACAUUUUCUUUGCUGAAUAUUCUUUGAACGAGUGAAAUAGGAUAAUAGUGACAGUGUAGAUAGGGCCCAAUUGUGUUCACACAACCCAAAUGGUCUAACUUUUACCACGUUUGCAGCCCUAGCCAAAGUGAUUUGGGUUGGGUGGAGUACUGGAGGUAUAUGAUUGAAGAACACUUGUAUAUGUGAAUUACUACAUUUUCUAAACUUUCUAGGUUUGUGAGGCAAAGUGUUCUGGGAGGCUUUUCUUUUCAACACUUUUAGGAUGUUUGGAAGAAUUGAUAGAGUUUAUUUGGGCUAACUUUAUUGUUUCUGUAAUAAUGUAAUAAUUUUUAUACAUUGACUGUAUAGUUUUUUAGGAAUUAGAGAUUGAUCUCACAAUUUUUGUUUAUUAUUUUUAAAAUAAGAUAUCAAAUUUCAAUAUAUAAAAUUGUACCAACAAAGCGUUGGUAAAAUGGUAUAAGACAUCAUUAGAUCCUUAAGGUCGUGAGUUCAAUUCUUGAGAGCGACAUUUGUUGGGAGGAGCAGCCACAAACCCUGAAAUAUAAAAAAAAAUUACUUACUAUCUCUGUGCACCACAUUCUUAUUUUAUGAAAACAAGUAACUAUUAUUUAAACAACUUUUUGAGUAAAUGCUUCAUCCAAGUUACUUUUUUAGCGGGACAAUCUUCAAAUACAUUUUUGUGUUUGCUAAGGCACCUAAUAAUUCAAUGAGACCUAAUAUUACUAAACUAAUUCUUUGUCAGUAAAUUUUCAAACACGGUUGAAUGAAUAACACUGCUAAUAUAAAGUAUUUUUUAUUAAUUAUUAACUUUAAUCUACAACAACCACCACUAAGCCUUAAUAUAGUAUACUUGUAAUUAAUUUCUAACUUUAACUAAUUACAAAAACUAAUAUUUGAAUUACAUGUACUUUGAAGGUGGUGAAUUAGGAACUCACAUUUGAGGGAUCAGCAUGCUUGAUGCAUCAGCAAUGUAAUUCUUAGUGAUACCACCUCCACUGAAAUCCACCAUCUCAACUAUAAAAACUUCCCCAGCUAUUACCUCUGCAACUAGGGGUUUAUCUUAACCAUACUGAGCCAUUCUUGUGCUCAAAAUCUCCAAACCUAUGUAUAUAUGUAGUAGCUGCGCUGAAUGUGCAUUCACUGAGAGGUUUUCCUUUUAAUGGUAUCCAACUCUAAUGUCUUUUCACUUUUGGAAUUCAUAUGGAGCCUUGGUUUGACAACUACUGAAAGCACCCUAAUUUGAUUGGAAAAUAAAUUAUUUAAAAGUUGUAUACUUAAUAUAAACAUCAUAUUAGUCUAGCGUAAGGUUUCACUGGAUCUCUAAAUAAACUAAAGUAUGAAAUUUAGAUGUAGAGAGUAAAGUAUUGAUAAUCUAAGAAUAUUCUUUAUUUUUUGUUAAAAAUGUAAUUAACAAUGAGAAAUGAACAAUAAUAGAUAAUUAUAUAAUAUUACUAUAAAUAUUUAGGUAUUUUGAUAUUUUAUCUCCAAAAAAUUCAAAUUGUGAAAACUUUAAAAAUAGACACAUGAAUGGUUUUAGAUGGUUUGAGAAACCUACAAAACCUUCUCAUCUCCUUCAUCCAACUUUCAAAUAACAAGAAGGCUUUCCAAAGUCAUCCCCUUCCUUAUCCUCCAAAACCACACCCCCAAACAAAGCCUAAGAGAUCAAUAAUUCGAUUCCUGAAAACUACACUUAGUAAUUUGUUAUUAUUCUAUGUUCAUUUAUUCUUAUAUUUAUACAUACAUUUAGAAAUUAUAUCUCAUAUAUAUCAACAAUGUACUCUAUUUGAGAGUUUGAGAAAUAAGAUUUGUAAUUUCUAUACGACAUCAGAGUGGUUUCAUCCUUCAUGAGCUAUUCAGUCAUUAUUAUGUUGUUAAGAUGCCGAACUCGAUUAGUCAUUUUCCUUUGUUGUGUCAACUUCUCUUAGUAUACAUUCAUUUUUUUCUUUUUCUUCAACCUAAUAAUUUCAUGUUUCACCCAAAAAGUCGUCCAAAUAAAAAAAUAGCAACAUCUUCCAAUAGAAAAUACAUUUUCUUCACUUUAUAUUUAUUGGUCUCUCCUCCCAAUGAUAAUCAUUUCGAUGAUAUUUUAUCUCCAAGUGAUAAAUCAUAUGAGCACUAACUUCUUUUCUCAUCGAAGGUUAUCCCGAAGGUGAUUAUAUCACUGAGUUCUCUUCCAUUGAUGAUCAUUUUGGUGAUGUUUUUUUCCAUUGACAAAUUACAUUAAUGGUAAUUUCUUUUUUCAUUAAUGAUUAUUCCGAUGUUGAUUAUAUUCAAUGGUUUUUCACUAACGAAUCCAUUUUUCAUCGGUAACGAUCAUUCCAUGGUGGUUAUACCAAAAUAUUUCGUAAUUACAACACAUUUCUGAUAAUUUUAUGAAACCAUGUAAUUAGCUUGACUAUUUUCAUUUUGAAAGGAAUUGUUUUUAACAAAUUUAAAACUUACUAAACUUUAGCUUAAGGGGACGUGUAAGAUAUAUUCGGACUGAUAUAGCAUAAUUUUAUUUAAGAUUAUGUCAAUUCCAUUUUAUCCGAAUAUAUCAUCCUGUCAUUUGUAACAACUUUUAUCUAUACUAGAGUAGUGAUUAGUAAAAAAAUACAUUUUUUAUAUUUUCAAUUAAAUUUAUCUUGUUUAAUCAAUUAUCACGCUUUAACACAUAGAGUAGCAUAAAAUGCUGGUAGUGGAUUUUUUCUCAUUGGAAUGAGCCUAUUAGCAAUCCAAAUUAUUUGAACAUAGUCCUCUUUCUUAAUCAAUCACAUUAUUUCAUAUUUGUUUUUUAAAAUUAUAAUUGAUUCAUGAAGAAUAUCAAUAGAUAAAUUGGAAUGUCGAAUAGUUGUACCCAUAAAGUUAAAUGUAAUUAUAAAUUUAUUUUUAUUAAAAUUGAAUGAAAUAUAAUACUUAAAAUUACUAUAUGAAUUAAUAGUGAUAUUAUUUGUUAACUUAAUUCCUAUAAUUUAAUUGUAAAUCUGCCCAUGAACCUUUGGAGCAAAUAGAAAAUGUCAUGCAUAUAUUAUUUUUAAUAUUAUUUGCAAUGCAAAUAAUUAAAUAAAUUUGAAAUUAACUAAUAAUUAUGAUCAUAUAAUUAAUUUUGAAGCCUCUGUGUGCCCGAAAUGAAACAUUGUUAGUUUGAAUAAAUAAAAGCUAAGGUGGAUUAUGUAUAUACGUCACUGAGUUUAAAAGAAACACAUGAGUUUAUGUUUAUAUAUAUAUAUAUAUAUAUAUAUGAGUGUAUAAAGAUUUAUAUAUAAUUAGUAUUUUUUUUGAAGAGACAAUAAUUAUUAAAUUGAAAGAUAACUGAUAUACCAAAAUUGUAAACAACUUUUACACAACAUUUUUUUUACUCUUGUAUUAAUUGCUUCGUGUUUGUGAGCAAAAGGGACAUGCAUGUGCAAGUAUGUUGCCAAUUACUCACAAAGAGUCCAAUCUAUUCUUGACAUAGUAGUAUUUCCAAGUAUAAAGUCACAUCGCUUUCUUCUUCCUCCUUUUCUUAGUUUUAAAUUUUAUAUUUUGGGGUUACAAAGACAAAGACAGUACCUCACUCUCUUAAGAACUGGCACCAACCAACUUGUGCUAACUACCUUCGUUUUAAAUUAGCAAUAAUAGUAAAGUGAGGGUUAAUAUUCUCCCACAUUUCUUAAGUAAAUGGAGAAUAUCUUAAUCAUCCAAUGAUUUAUUGACAUAAUAUAAUAAUGGAUUAAAUUUUAGUUAAAAAUGAUGACAAUGAGAGAAAGAACAAGAAAUUAAGAGGAUCUCCACCAUCCAAUGAAUAUGGACUCCCAUGAUCUAUUUAUUAAGGUAAUUAAAAAUGUUAUUUUGCAUGAUUGAGAGGUUUUUGAUGGAGAUGUACUAACUUAUCUACGAGGGUUUGUUUUUCUUCUCUAUUCUUAAAAUGUUUAUAAAAUUGUCAAGGGAGUUGAUGAAAAGUAAAAGAUCAAUGGUUGUGGUAUGGUUUAAGUAUGAAUAAAUCAAUUUUUUGUGUUUAGAUAGUUAAUCAGAGCUUUCAUUUAUGGUUACAAAUAACUAGGCUUAUUGGGAGAGUUUUUGUUCAAUUAAUUUUGAGUUUUCCUAAUUUACCCUGUUUUUUUUAUCGAGAAUUGUUAGUACGUUAAUUGUUAUUAUGUUAGUAUUUUGUUGUGGGUGAGACUCCACCCUCAACCUCCUACACCCUACCAUCAAAACAUCCUUAUAACUCCCAUUUUUUGUUGAUGGUGGGACACGAACCCACAACCUCCUACACUCCAUUUCUUACGACCGCCUUCUUCACCAUCAGACCACCUUAUGACUCCCUAAUUUACCCUGUUAAUCGAAAUUUAAUAUUAUUAGUGGAAUAAAGAUUUGUUUGUCGUUGUGAAUAUAAAAAAAUUGACAAAAAAAAAUGGUAGCUAUUCUUUAAAUGGCCAUUGAAGGUUUCUCCAUUUAAAAGAAAAAAGUAGUUGUAUAGAUUGUGUGAUUUUAUAAUGGGAGUGACUAUUUUAGUAUAUAUUUGGAUAUCCUUCCAUCAUUUAAACGAUGUACUAAUUCCUUUAGAAUAUUAUGUUUUCUAAGAGAAGUUGCUUAUAGGAUCAAAUAUACAUCAACAUUUAACCUUAUACUAUAUAUAUAUGAGUCUAGCGAGCUUGAUGAGAAUGGUUAGAAAUUAGUAAUUUAUUUUCCUAAGAAAAUUAAGGCAAAGGCAAAUAUGUACUACCUGCAAAACCUUUCUACAUGAGGUAUAAUAAUAUAAUAAUAUUUGAAAGAGACACGCGGCGUUUUAGGGGCAGAGCCAUGUGAGCAACACAUGGACUCGGCAUGUUAUAUAGUUGAACCCUCGUACAUUUAUAUGAUUAAUGAAUCAUGGUCCCAUAUUCAUGUCUAGUGCAUUGCCAUGUGAAUUUCGCAAAAUCCCUGUUCUAUGAAUAGAAACAUAAACUCUGUGACCAUACUUUUUUUAACACAGGUGUAUUUGAAUUUAUUGUUUCGCGCAGGAAUUAAUCACAACAUAAUGGCAUAUUUUAUCAUACAUAUUAUAAUACAAAACAAUGUAAACUAUUUCAAUAUACUACAAUAUUCUCAUCAAUAGCCGAACUGAGUCUUGUCAUCUUAUGGCUAAGUUGUAAUUGAUGAUUAAUGAAGAUAAUUUAAACUAUUUCAAUAUACUGGCAUAUUUCUAAUUAUGUCAGCUUUUUGCCAAUUAAAAUUAAGAAUGUGUCACAUAGGUCAAAGCUAAGUGCAUAAACAGAAUGGUCUACUACAGUGACACUUAGCUUCUUAAUGAAAACAAUAAAUGGACGUUUAAAUUAAAUUGGUUAACUCAAGUUAAUUUUUGAAGUUUUUAAUUCAUCAUUUUCCAAAGUAAAACUUAUUUUUAAGGAAAUUAGUUCUUUAUCCAAGUGAGAUGAAAAUAUUUAAAACAAGUAAAAAACUUUAAGCUACCUACUAUUUGUAUAAAGAGACAAGCACUGUGAAUAUUGAAGAAAAUUGAAACACUACAAGGCAAGAAUAUCAAGGAUGGUUAUCUCUUUGCAUAUUUCUAAAGGAUAACAUGUAAUAUUUUUGAGCCACAUUUGUUUGAGAGAAAAAUUAGAAUAAAUCUUAAAAGGAAUGAGUCAUUUAUCUAAAGGACAAGAUAUUAACAAGUAAAAAAUAAUACUUUAGUAUAACCACUUCUAUUUUAUAUUAUACUACUCUCUCUUAAAAUGGAAAUGAUUCAAAAUAAAAAAUGUAUUUUAUAAAGAGAUAAGCGAGAUAGAGACCAAAAAAAUUGAAACACUUCAAGGCAAAAUGAUAAUAUGAGUGAUGGUUUUGUCAUGCUAGGUGAGGGAAGCAUGUGCAUGUUUGAAACAAAAAUAGGAAUCUGUAUGAAAUCAUUGUUGGAUUAUAUAGCAAUAUCUCUCCCAUGUGCUUGAUGACGAUGUUACUCGUAAUCAAUCAGUAUCGCUACAACAUGAUGAUUGAUUGUUUAUAUUAAGCAUUAUGAAUGAAAGACAUUAAUUAAAAAACGGGAUAAUCUAGACUUUAGAGGCCACUUUAUGCUCAUAAAUUUCAGAUAGUUUCAUAUACUGUGUGGGAAGUGGGAACCAAAUUAAAUGAUGGAUUGUAAUGUAUAUUAUAUAUUGAGUAUAUCAAAUUGGUCAGAUGAUACUUUCUUUGGAUUCCUCAUUAUCAGUUCAGUAAUCAAUCAUAGGUUUAUCUUCUAAAUUCACAUAAUUAAAGAUUCUCAUACUCUAUGUUUAAGUUCUUCAUAGCAAGACAAAACUAAACUAAUUCUUUUAUAAUCUCUCUGUUUCCUUUAAUUUAAUUAGAAGACUUAUAUUGUAAAGAACUUAAACAAAAAAACCUUUCAUCUCUCAUCUUUUUACUUGUUUUUUAAUUAAAUAUUGCAGAAGCAAUGCACUGGUUUUUCCAUUGUCAAUGCAAAUGGUAAUAUGAAGUAAAAGAUGCAUAUGCUACAAGUGUUAAGUUUGCUAUUUAACUCAACAAAAUAUUACUUUGCAUAUUUGUUCUUUGUUUUGAGUUUGGUUUAAGAUGUGUUAAACAUUUUACUCAUUCAUGUUACUUACAUGAAUGCAUCUGAGAUCUUUUCUUCUUUAAAUUGUGUUACUUCAACGAAGAGGUCAAUGGAAAUGAUAGGGGAUAAUUAUGCAGAAGAUUAUUUUCAACAAUCCUCUACAAAGAUUCUAAAGACUUAUUAAUAAGGAAGGAGAAUAAUAGGUCAUUUUAGCUUUUUACAAGUGUUUUUGGUUUCAGUAUAUUUUCAGUUCUUUCGUUACAUUUUGUUAGAAAUUUAUAAUUUUUAAUUAAGGUGGACAUCAUAUAUUUAAUAUAAUGAUAUCAAUUAUUUAUUUUCGGGUUUACAUUAUAAGUGAUCUAAUUACUGUCACCCGUUAGAUUUCUAAAAGCUGGUAACGGAUAUGUGCUUAAUUGGUGGAUACCCAUUAGUUAACAACCCAUAGAGGAUAAUGAGAACCAUAUAAGUUAACGCACACAAAAAAGGUUAUGGUCCCCAAUACACUAAAUCAAAUUCAGUUUUCUCUUCUCUCAGAUUGAAAAUGCAAGUCCCAAGUGGUAUGAGAGCUGAGGUUCUGAAUUUUUUUGAUUUUCCAUUAAGGUGUUUUCCCCAAAUUUUGUUUGAACCCUAAUUCUAAUUUGGAAUUUUUUUUUGUUCACUUCCACUUUAAUGUUAUGAAAAUUGGGAAUAUCUGAAUUGAUCAUUAUAUGCAUUGUUGAAGAAAUAGAACAAUUCUUUAAUGUUAUGAAAAUUGGGAAUAUCUGAAUUGGGAAUAUCUAAAACCCAUUAUAUGUGCUCUAACCGAAUGUGCAUCAUGAUCAUGAAACGCUCUAUUCCAGAUGCUUUCGGGGACUUUAUAUCUGUGAGUGAAAGUGCAAGAAAGUUCAUCGAAGAAAUAGAACAAUUCUUUACAAGAAUGAAAAAGCGGAGACGAGUAGCCUUUUGGCUAAACUCAUCUCCAUGAAGUAUAAAGGCAAAAUGAACAUAAAUGUGUACAUUAUGGAGAUGUCUAAUCUCGCAUCAAAACUCAAGUCACUUAAGUUAGAGCUUGGUGAUGACCUACUCAUGCACUUGGUUUUGAUCUCUCUUCCUCCCUUAAUGAGCUUAUAUCUCACUGUGUACAAGAUGAAGAGAGGUUGUAAAGAGGCUGCAUAGAGAUAAGACUGAAAGUGCUCACUUGGCUAUGACCCCUCAAAAUAAGAAAAGGAAAAGCAAUAAGGAUGCUGCGAAAGGGUCUUCUCAGCAAAAGAAAUUGAAGAGUAAUGAUGAAUUUACCUGUUACUUCUGUAAGAAGGAAGAACACAUGAAAAAGUAUCCUAAAUAUGCCUCAUGGAGUGUAAAGAAUGUUAAAUUUUUAACUCUUGUCUGUUCUGAAAUUAAUUUGGUUUUCGUACCCAAUAAUACUUGGUGGAUAAAUUCUGGUGCUAAUACUCACAUUAGUAUCACUAUGCAGGGUUGCCUGUGGAGCCGACAACCAAGUGAUGAUGAGAGAUUCAUCUUUGUGGGCGAUGGCAAAAGGGGUGUAGUUGAUGCUAUUGGAACAUUUAGAUUAUGUUUAAGAACUGAUUUUCAUUUGGAUUUAUUUCAGACAUUUGUUGUACCGUCUUUUAGGCGGAAUUUAAUUAGUGUUCCUAGCUUGGACAAAUUUGGUUUUUCUUGUUCUUUUGGUAAUAAUAAAGUUAGUCUCUAUCAAAAUUCAAAUGUUGUUGGUUCUGGUUUUUUAAUUUAUAAUUUGUAUAUGCUUGAUGUUUCCAGUUUCACUAAUGAAAUACUGCAAACAAAUUCAUGUGGUACAAAACGAAAAUUAAAAUAGAAUUCUGCCACCUUAUGGCACAAUCGUUUAGGUCAUAUAUCUAAACAAAGAAUUCAAAGACUUGUGUCGGAUGAAAUCCUUGACCCUUUAGAUUUAUCAGACUUUGGGGUAUGUGUUGCGUGCAUAAAAGGAAAACAGACAAACAAAAGGAAGUUAGGUGCUGAAAGAGCUAAAGAUAUCUUAGAACUAAUACAUACGGAUAUAUGUGGUCUUUCCUUAUGACUUCCUGGAAUAGACAACAUUAUUUUAUUACGUUCAUAGACGAUUACUUUAGGUACGGCUACCUAUAUCUUAUACAUGAGAAGUCCCAAUCCUUGGAUGUUUGCAAGUCUUUUAAGACUGAAGUUGAACUUCAACUUGGAAAGAAAAUUAAGGCUGUCAAAUUUGACCGUGGUGGUGAAUACUAAAGCAGAUAAGAUGGAUCAGGAGAACAACGUCUAGGGUCAUUUGUGCUUUUCUUCAGAGAGUGUGGAAAGUCAGGCAAACCUAGCAUGAAUGGUGUUGUUGAGUGACGAAACCGAACUCUUGAGGAUAUGGUGAGAAGUAUGAUUAGUCAUUUUUCCUUACUAGAGUCUCUUUGGGGGAAGUUUUAAAGACCGCAGUUUACAUCUUUAAUAAAGUGUAAAGUAAAACAGUUAAGUAAACCCCAUAUGAGCUUUGGACUAAUAAAAGACCAAGUUUGAAACAGUUGCACAUUUGGGGUUGUUGAGCUAAGGCACGACCUUAUAGACUACAUGAAAGAAAACUGGACUCUAGAAUUGUUAGCUGUUAUUUUGUUGGCUAUGUUGAACGCUCUCGGUGCUACAAAUUUUAUGAUCCCACUUCAAGACUCUUUUUUGAGACGGGAAAUGCAAGAUUUCUUGAGGAAGUUGAUUUUGGGAAGAAAAAGAACAUAAAUAAUGUUGUCUUUGAGGAAGAAUCUGUCAGUGAUAGUGAACAAAUUCUUGUGUCUAUUACCAUUCAAUGAAUAAAUUCAGUAAUAGAAGAUAAUGUUCAGAAUAUUGUUCCUGACAAUAUUUCAGAACAAGACAACAAUGAUGUUCUCCCUCAAAUACCUAUAGAACAAAUUCAACAACCUCAAGAAGUAGAAGUGUCAUUAAGGAGAUCCACUAGAGAGAGGAGAAGUGCAAUUCCCGAUGAUUAUAUUGCAUUUCUUCAAGAACAUGAGGAAUGUCAUCAUACCACAAAACCUCUUUCAGAAACGUAGAUCAGUCGGGAACAUGGAUUCAGAUACGACACUGCACCAUUUGUUUUAUAUAUAUAUGUGACAAUCAUGAUAUUCAAGAUCCUAAGAUUGAUAUUUCACCAAUAAUAAGGAAUUCCCAACAUUUUCAAGAGUUAAAAGAUGCUGUUGUUUUCGUUUCUGUUCUGGAAAACAGUACUACAUUGUGAACUUUCCAUGGUAAUUGCUUUGAACUUGCCCUGUUAAUUCUACUAUUUAGCUUUGUAAUUGGUUUACAACUUCAUUGUUUUGGUUAUUUCAUACCAAUAACAAAAUCAUUAUAAAUUUCAAAUAUUUUCUUUAAAAAACAUUAUAUUAUUAUACUAUAUUCACCUAAGAACUUUAAAACUGACAUGUGCCACACGCCCAUGUAUAUAAUGUUAAAAUAAAAUGUACACUAAUUUUAUUAGUAAGAUGUGAUGAUAUAUUUUAUGAUAUCCAAAUUUUUGUGGGAUCCACUUACUCAAUAAAUAAGUUUUUUAAACUUAUUUUUUAUCCUAGUCAUCAAUUUUUGAGAAAUUUAAUAGUUUAGAUCUACUCACUAAUUCAAAAAAUUGAAUUUCUCCAAAAUUAAUGGUUAGAAUAUGAAAUAAAUUUAAAAAACAUACUCUCGAGAUAAGUGGAUCUCUCAUCUUCAAAAUUUGUGAAAAUAUAUUUACCUAGCAAAAUUUCUCACAAACCUUUAUGAGUCUCAACUUUAUAUUUGUAUUCAUUCGUAUUAGCUAUAUUUGGAUUAUAUUUAAGCGUUAAUGAUAAAUAAAUAUAAAUAUUGUAAUAAUAUUGUAAAAUUGCAUAAUUUCUUUUAAACAUUCCAUUAUUUUGAAAUUAAAAAGACAAAUCCUAUUAUGUUGGGUUGGGCUCCUCUUUUUCUUGGCUUUCACCCUUUAGUUCAAAAAAACAAAGAGAUAAAUAAUUAAAUACGACUACUGUAUUCUAGACGAAGCCAUAACUAAAAAGUAAAAGAGAAAAAUAUACAGAAAAAACAAAGAUGAAGAACAAUCUUGGUUGAUAGUAAGACUUGUCACACAAACAAACAAACAAACAGACAAUUGAAUUUGGUGCGUUGAGCUAAGACGGUUACAUGAACCGCGUAUUUUCGUGGCGCAUAAACAAACACUACCCAAUCCCAUCCCAAUCCUAUUCUAUUCUAUCCUCCCCCUUCAUACGAAUUCUGCAACAAACAACUUGUACUGAUCGGAAUAACAAUGAUAUAACUAUAACAGUAACAAUAACAAUGAUGACCCUCACUUAUUCCUUUCUACCUUCUAAACCUUCUCGUUCUCGUUUUUAUAACCGCCCAAGGCUCAGAUUAUUAACCGUUAGGGCUCAAUCGGAGAAUAACUUAUUCGAAACCCUCACUCAAUUCCAUUCCUUCAAUCUCAUCGCUCCCGUUCUCGCCUUCGCUUCCGGUUUCGCUCUUUCCCUCUCUCGCCGCCGCAACACCACCACCAACACCGACACCGACUCGGAGUUAAUUGAUCUCGGUGAGUGGAUCCUCUUCGCUAAUCCUUCGCCGUUUAACCGUUUCGUUCUUCUUCGGUGUCCUACCAUCUCCUUUCGCGACGAGGAUGCCAACGAGAGGCUCGUGAGGGAGGAGAAGCAUUACGUCACUGUUAACAAUGGAAGGAUUCGUCUGAAAUUGGAUGAUGAGAGUGAUCGAAAGUUGAGUUAUCAGAGAGUGUGUGUCAGUUGUGGUGAUGGUGGUGUGAUUUCGUUGGAUUGGCCUAGUAGCUUGGAUUUGGAACAAGAGCGUGGUUUGGAUUCUACUCUCUUGCUUGUUCCUGGUACUCCUCAAGGGAGCAUGGAUCCAACUGUCAUGUCCUUUGUGCUUGAAGCUCUCGGGAAGGGGUUCUUCCCUAUUGUUAUGAACCCUAGAGGAUGUGCUGCUUCACCUCUCACCACUCCCAGGUAUCUCACAAGAUAAAAUUAGAAAUAACUGCAUUAAGGAGAAAGUUGGAGUAGUUAAUAGUGUAGGUAAAAUUACGAAUUAGUUGGUUUGGACAUGCGUGGAGGAGGCUGUUAGAAGCCCCAAUAAGGAGAAUAGAUCGAAUGAAGAGGUUGUGAAAAGAUAAAGGAGAUGAAUAUAUUUCAAGACUUUUUAUUAUUGCAUACUUGAUUGAAUACAAUGAAAUAGCUUAUCCCUUUAAAUAAAGAGAUAGCAAAACAGAAUGAAGCAAUCAGUAACUAACAUAACUGAUAUAACAACCUAACAACUAAUUAGGCAUGUGAUAAAUUGGCAUAUUGUGCAUGUGACAAAUAAGCCAAUUUACUCAGCAUAGGAAAACAUAAGAAUAACUAAUUCUUAUUCUCUAAUAUACCCCCCUGAAACUGAGGGUAGUUGACUAAGGAUGCUGAGUCAACAAUUCUGAGUUGCUUCCUUAGGUUUAGAAACCUAUCAGAGGCCAAAGGCUUGGUGAGCAUAUCAACUGUCUGAAAUUCAGAAGGGAUGUGUUUCACUUGAAGAGACUUAGCCUGAAUUCUAUCUCUUACAAAAAAUAGGUCAAGUUCUAUGUGUUUAGUUCUAUUAUGAAGAACAGGAUUGUGAGACAUGCUCACUGUACUUAAAUUAUCACAUAGAAUGAGAGGAACUUGAUGAGGGAUCUUGAGUUCAGAAAACAAGGAUUCAACCCAAAUCAUUUCUUGAGCAGCAAGGGCAAGGCUCCUGUAUUCAGCUUCAGUGCUGGAUCUGGAGAUUGUUUGCUGCUUCUUAGACUACCAAGUAACUAGAUUAGGUCCAACAAAUAAACAAGCCUAUGAUAUGAACUUCCCGUCAUCAAGAUCAGUGACCCAAUCUGCAUCACAUAGAGCUGUUAGGGUGAUAGGAAGAGAGGAAUUAGAAACAACAGGUUUGAGAUGCAAGCCAAGAUGAAGAGUUUUCUUGUAGAUAUCUUAGAGUCCUUUUGACAGCAACCCAAUGUUGUUCCAGAGGAUUGCUCAUGAAUUGACACACCCUGUUUACACUAUAGGCUAAGUCAGGUCUUGUAAUUGUGGCAUAUCGAAGAGCUCCAACUAUUGACUUGUACAUAGUAGGGUUAUCAAAGGCUCUGGACUCUGUUUUAGUAAGCCUGCAAGUGGUUGCCAUAGGAGUGAUACUAGGCUUGGCAGAUUCCAUAGAGGCUUUAUUGAGUAGGUCUCUAAUAUAUUUGGUUUGAGUGAGAAACAGAGUACCAUCCUUGAUGUGUUUGACCUCAAUGCCCAAAAAGUAGUCCAAGUUGCCUAGUUUCUUGAGUGCAAAGUGUUGAGUUUGUCCACAAGGGCAGAGAUUUUUGAGGUUGAAGUCCCAGUGAUGAUUAUGUCAUCAACAUAGACUAAAACAAACAAUUGAUAGGUAUUGCUGAGAGAGAUGAAUAGAGAAUUACCACAUUUGCUAUUCUGAAAUCCUAACUAAAGGAGAGUGCUUUUGAAUUUCUAAAACCAUUGCAUAGGAGCUUGUUUGAGACUAUAUAAAGCCUUGUGUAACUUGCACAUAGUGGUCUUGUCACCAUUAUGAAAACCAAUAGGUUGAGUCAUAUAUACCUCCUCAUGAAGAGCACCAUUUAGGAAAGCCUUAUUGAUGUCCAGUUGUUGAAUGGACCAGCCAUAAGUGACAGCUAGGGUGAGGAGAAUUCUGAUAGUGAUAGGUUUGAUGACAGGGGAAAAUGUCUUAUUGUAAUCAAUUCCAAGAACUUGAUGAAAUCCCUUUGCAACAAGCCUGGCUUUAUACUUGGAAAUUGAACCAUCAGGAUUCUCUUUAAUCCUAAAUACCCAUUUGCAUCCAAUGGUCUUCUUAUGUGGAGGUAAGGCACCUAGGGACCAAGUUCCUAGCUUUUGCAGUGCAUCAUACUCUUCCUGCAUUGUUGCUUUCCAUACUGGACUGAGAAGGGCCUCUUUGGGAGUAGAAGGUUCAGUGUGAGCCAGAAAAAGGCUUGCAAGACUGGGUAGGAUAGACUUAUUGAUGCCAUCCUUGGAUCUGGUUGUCAUAGGAUGAGAAGGGAGAGGUGGAGGAAGUGAAGUAAAUGAGGAAGGAGUGGAUGCAGUGGUUGAGAGUAAGUCAGGGGAGGGUGAGGUAACAGGGUUAUGGCUAGAGUGUGUAAAGUCAGUAGUAGGGGCCAGGUUAGGAGAUAAGGGAGGAUUAGGUUGGGUAUAUGAGGUUACUGAUUGAUUGAGUAGGGUUUGUUGGUGCAAGGUUGAUAUGAGUAGGGUUUGUUACUGAUUGAGUAGGGUUUGUUGGUGCAAGGUUGAUAUGAGUAGGGUUUGUUACUGAUUGAGUAGGGUUUGUUGGUGCAAGGUUGAUAUGAGAGGUAUGGAUGUGGUUAGGUAAAUUUGUUAGAGAGGAGGAUAGAUGACCAGUGAUGAUGGGAGAGCCAAGUAUGGAACUGUUUUUUAAGGGAAAAACAGAUUCAUUGAAUUUAACAUCCUUGGAGAUGUAUAAUCUGCCAUCCUUGGAUAGGCAUUUGUAUCCUUUAUGCAUAGGUGAAUACCCUAAGAAGGUACAUUCAGUGGACUUAUAGUCAAGCUUGUGAGUGUUGUAUGGUCUGAGGAGAGGGAAACAAGCACAUCCAAAAACUCUUAGAGUUGUAUAGUCUGGAGCAUAUCCAAAUAGGUUGAAGUGAGGUGAUUUAUUGUUGAGGGUGGCAUAGGGUAGUCUGUUGAUAAGGUACACAGCUGUAGUGAAUGCAUAUUCCCAGAAUGAUUGAGGUAGGCCAGCAUGGGCUAGUAAAGUCAACCCUGUUUCAACUAUAUGUCUGUGUUUUCUUUCCACUGUGCCUUGUUGGUGAUGAGUGUGGGGGCAGGACAAUCUGUGGAUGAUGCCUAGAUUGGAGAGGUAGGUAGUGAAUGGCCUGAAUUCUCCCCCUCCAUCUGUUUGAACAACUUUGAUGUUUUUGUUAAACUGAGUGAGGAUCAGUUUGGUAAAUUGUGUGAAGAUGGUUAGGGUUUCAGAUUUCUGUUUAAGUAAAAAUAUCCAAGUGUGUUUGGUUUUGGCAUCUACAAUGGAGAGAUAAUAUUUAAAACCAGACUUAGAGACAACUGGUGAGGGGCCCCAUAAGUCUAGAUAAAGUAAAUCAAAGGCAUUAGAGUAAGAGGUGAUGGAGUUAGGAGAGUGAAGUCUAUGGGACUUGCCAUAACAGCAUGCAUUACAAAAAUCAGGAACUCUUUUAUUUGAAUGAGAGAUAUUAAAAACUGAAAGGACAGUGUUUACAACAGAGGUGUGAGCAUGUCCUAAACGACAAUGCCACAAAAAUUCAGUAGAAAAAUGCCUAGAAGUAGGACUAUCUAAUAAAAGAGACUUGAACUGUCCAGUUGGAGUAGGAAUUGAGGCACAGCAGGCUGACUUUUUGGGAAAUAGGCUCUGGAAGGCAUAGAACCCUCAGAGGUAAGGGAACAUUUGAGAAGAAUGGUGUUAGAAUCUUGUGAUUUGACAAAACAGUCAUUAGGAUGAAACUCAAAAUGACAGUUAUUAUCUUUAGCAAAUUGGGAGACACUGAUUAGGUUCUUAGUAAUAGUAGGCACAAGAAGAAGAUUAUGUAAAGAUAAAGACAAAUGAAGGUAUAAAGGAGAGGGGAAAGUGCUUGUGCCACUACAAGAAAUAGGUUUUUUUGUGCCAUUACCCAUGUAGAGGUGUUCAGAACCAAAUUGUUCUGCUGUUUGGUGAACCAAAUUAGGAUCUGAGGUGAUGUGGUUGGUGGCACCUGAAUCUGGGAACCACAAUGAGUGCUUGGUGUCUGAUUCACCAGUGCUGGCAUUCAUGGCAUAGGGUGGGUAGGUUGAUAUGUGAGGAUGUUGAGGCCCAGGGAAUGUAUAAGGAGGCACAGGAGGUCUAGGAUUAGGCAUAGGAGAUUGGUAGUAGGGGUAUAUGGUGCAGGGUUAGGGGAAUAAUUUUGGUCAGUGUAUUGAGUGGUAGGUCUGUAGGAGUUGUGGUCAGGUCUUGGUCCUCUGGAUAAGGGAUUCUGUGUGUUGGUGAAGUGAGAUGUAGGGUAAGGAUAGGGAUAGGCAGGGUAAGGAUUGGGGAUAUUGUACGGGGCAAAGUAGCACCAAGCUAUGUCAUGGCCAGGUCUGUUGCAGUGAGUACAAAAGAAGCUGCUACCAAACCCAUUUGAGGGUCUUGAUCCUCUACUAAAUCUUGUAUUUCUUCUGUUAGAACGACCCCCCCUGACCCAGUAGAGAAAGAAUUAGGGUUAGAGUCAAAUUUGUGGUUAGGAGGAGAUGUUGUAGGUGGAAAGUUGGGAUUGAAGUGUGCAGGGAUUGAUCCAGAUUCAGUGGAUUGAUGUGAGGUAGGGAUAGUGACAAUGUUGGCAGAAAGAGCAUCAGAGACUGCUUUAUGCUUGUUCUUGAUGAGUCUUGACUCAAAGGUCAAGAGAAAUUGCUCAAGGUCAUUGAUGGAAGGUAGUUAAUCUGGCUUUCAAUGGCAGUGAUGACAGUUUGAAAUUCCUCACCUAAUCCAUCAAGAACAUAGUCUAUGUGCUCAGCAAUUGAGAUAGGUGUUCUAAUAGAUGCUAGAGAGUCAAUGAUGCAUUUGAUUCUUGAGAAGUAUUCUGAGAUGUUGUUGUUGCCCUGAGAUAUGUUGCGUAAUUGAGCCCUAAGUUGUCUGCUUCUAGCCUUUGUGUGCGCAUUGCAGAAUGAGUGAAGUUCAUCCCACAAUUGAGAGGAUGAUGUGCAGCCAAUAACUCUGGUGUGAAGAGAGUCGGAGAUGGAGUUGAAGAUCCAAGCAAACACAGUCUGGUCUUGUUCUUCCCAAAUGAGAUAUGAGGGGUUAAUUUGAUGGUGGCUACAGUCAAAUUCAGAUAAGAACUUUGGUGGAAUUUCAGUAGGGUGAAUGAAUCUGAUGGCCCUGUUUGACUUGAGAACAAAGACCGUAAAUUGACUCCAAGUGAGAUAGUUUUUCUCACUGAGUUUGGUAGAGGGAAUAGGAAUAGAAAGGGAUGGAGAAACUGCUCGAAUUGGAGGAGCAGAAGAAUGGAAAGGUGGUGGAGAGGAAGGAUCAGUGACAGUGGCCAUAAGGGCUCUGAUACCAUGUGAAAAGAUAAAAAGAUGAAUAUAUUUCAAGACUUUAUUAUUGCAUACUUGAUUUUUACAAAGAGAUGGCUUAUCCCUUUAAAUAAAGAGAUAGCAAAAACAGAAAGAAGAAAUCAGUAACUAACAUAAGUUAGUUACUGAUAUAACAACCUAACAACUAAUUAGGCAUGGGUGGAGAUGAAGGAUCAGUGGCAGUGGCCAUAAGGGCGAUUGAUACCAUGUGAAAAGAUAAAGAAGAUGAAUAUAUUUCAAGACUUUUUAUUAUUGCAUACUUGAUUGAAUACAAUGAGAUAGCUUAUCCCUUUAAAUAAAGAGAUAGCAAAACAAAAUGAAGCAAUCAGUAACUAACAUAAGAAUAACUAAUUAGGCAUGUGAUAAAUUGGCAUAUUGUGCAUGUGACUUAUAAGCCAAUUUACUCAACAUAGGAAAACAUAAGAAUAAUUAAUUCUUAUUCUCUAAUAGAGGUUAAUCCAAUUCCGGGAGGAAGAGGGAGACCAAGAAAAACCAUAAGCAAACCAAUUAGAUAACAUUGCCUAUCAAGUUCACCUUUAAGGGAGUCUUGUGAUGAUAAUAAUAAUGUAAAAAAUGAUCAUUGAAUUGAUGUAUUUAAGGUAAGGGAAAAGGAAAAUAGAAUAGAGAAAAGGAAGAGUUAUGAAUUGCUUGAGGGAUUUGCUCUCUAUAUGCUGAUAUUCAUAAUUCAUAUGAAGGAAUGAAUACAAGUCUAAUUUACUAGAUGCAUUGAACAAUUUUCUAGGACCUAAUUCCUAUGUAGGUUAGAUACAUAUAAUAUGUGAUCAAUGUGAUUAUUCUAACAGUUAUGAACCAUAUAUUAAAAUGAAUUGCGUACUGUACUGUCGUCUUAGUAACUAUGGACAGGACGUGCGGAGUGCUAAACUUCCUCUUACUUUUCAACUUCCACUUUCAUCCAACCCCAGCCAACCAAAGGGUUGAUGUAAGGAGUAAGGACUUAUUUCUUACCAAGUUUGUUAUCUGUAGGUUAUUUACAGCUGCUGACAGCGAUGAUAUCUGCACAGCGGUAACAUAUAUCCGCAAGGCGAGACCCUGGACAACGUUGAUGGGUGUUGGAUGGGGAUACGGUGCUAACAUGCUCACAAAGUACCUGGCAGAGGUCGGGGAAACAACACCCCUCACAGCUGCCACAUGUAUAGACAACCCUUUUGAUUUAGAUGAGACUACAAGGUCUUCUCCUUAUCACAUUGUUACUGAUCAGAAACUCACUGAUGGACUUAAAGAUAUUCUACAAGCCAAUAAGGUAAAUUAAUUGCUUUUGAACUUCACCAUCCUUUUUUAUUUUCAUCUGGCCUGCAUUGUCAUGUCCCAUGCAAUCUGAUUUUAUCAACAUAUGUUGGCGGUUAUCAGUUAGCUAGAAUCUUAUUUAUUAUGUAGGCACUAUUCCAAGGCAAAACGAAAGGUUUUGAUGUGGAAAAGGCUCUGUUAGCUAAUUCAGUCCGUGAAUUUGAAGAAGCAAUAUCUAUGGUAUCUUAUGGCUUUGAGGAUAUAGAAGGUUUUUAUUCAAAAUCCAGCACAAGAAAUGUAAUCAAGGAUGUGAAAAUUCCUGUUCUUUUUAUACAGGUAAGUACGGUUUGUUUUGUGCCAUCAUCUUAAUUGCAUGCUGUGCAUUUAGGUAAUUACUAAUUUAUUAAGUGCUCUAUUGUUUUGAUGUAAUAGUUUUGGGAAAAAGUAAGAUAAUCCUGACUAUACACAAGAGAGCGAAGAACUGUGUGUAACUGUGUUUCAAUGCUUUAUCAUUGCUAUGAUAGGAAGACACUAUGGAAUAGAGAGGGGGGGUAACAGGGUUGUUACUAGGUUAGAAAUGUGUGGAUGCUGAAGACUGAUCAGUUAUUUGGCUUAUUAUAUUUGCUCCGACGAGACCUAAUUUAUCUGUCAUUCAGUCAUUUUUAUUCUGAUGACAUUUCAUAUGUUGUAUUGCUUGGCUGCUAGAUAAAAUGCUUGCCUAUAUCUAUAAAAAGGGAUACACCUUUGCCUAUAUCUUUACAAGAAUCUGCAUGAGGUAUGAAUAUAUGAUUGACAUAUAGGCUUUUGCAUUUGACCUGUUCUAGAAACGGUUAGCCUGCCUCCUUUCUCCUCUGUACUGACUUGAUAAUUUUGAAAGUAGAUAUAGUUAAUCAUAGUUAUCGUUUUUAAGGAAUAGAUAAUUGCGUUAUUCAACGUUUCUGAUUUCAGUUUUUAUACCAAGGAGGUGGAAAGUAUGUAAUAUGUUAAAUGUGGCGAACUAGAAAAAGAGAGAACAAUCACGGUUUGAUCUAAUAUAUAGAGGACUAUAAUGGGGAGAAUGGUCAAUUGACAAAACAGUAAGAUGCUCAAAUAACCCAGAAAACAUAUAUGAUGCGAAGUUGAAUAAGUUGGUCUAGAGCAUGUGACAUCAUGCAAGAAAGUAAUUCUAUAUGAUUUGUCCAUUAAUGUUUUAUAUACCACAGUCCUAUAAAAAUUGUCUCUGUGUAAGAACCAUGAGUGUCACAGCGUAAUCUCUUUUUUCUUAUGCACAAAAAUAAGCUUUGGAAAGGAAAAAUUACAACUUGCCCUUAACUUUUCUUGCAUACCACUUUAAGUGUAUUUGCUAUUUAGCUCCUCUAACUGCUUGCUCUUCAUAACUGCUAGCUGUUAUCUGUUGCUAUUUAGCUCUCUCUUUCCCUUUUUUCUCUUCACUGUAGAGCAGGAUUUAAGAUUGCUAAUGGAAAUAACAAAAAAUCUGUAAAUUACAGUUCUCCAUUGAUUUGAUUAAAGAAUGGUGUUUUUUUUUUGCAUGAUUUAGUAUUGGCUUUUUUGCCAAGUAUCCCUAUGCAUACAUGCAAAUGCACGAAAGUCUUACCAGUGGUCUAUUUUAUCAGAGUGAUAAUGUGAUGGUUCCAGUUUUCUCAGUUCCACGCAAUCUGAUUGCGGAAAAUCCAUUCACAAGCCUGCUCCUGUGUUCUUGUUUACCAGCUUCAGUUAUUGAAACUGACACUGACAUGUCUGCUAUAUCAUGGUGCCAGCUUUUAACAAUUGAGGUAAUAUCUCUUUAUCUAGUUAUGGAUGAUUAUGUUUUUUAUGUAGCAUUUCUCUAGUUGGAAACUCUUGUCCUAAAAAUGAUAAUAAAUAUCAUUGCUAGGGUAAAGGCGUAUUCAUUUGAUUGACAGGUUAUUCUAAGAACCAAUCUGACUGGCUGGUUAAAAUGUUAAGCCAUCAAACCAGCCAGUGAUUUGGUUAUUACCUGUGAACCAGAAAUGCACUGAGCUAGUGAAGUUAAAGAAACCACCCAGCUAACUAGAAACUGCUAACUAGAAACUGCUAAUUCUGAGCAGUUGCUUGUCACCUUACUGGUCCAGCCAUCGAUAAGGUGGCCACAUGGAAUGACACCGGUUAUUUCACGACAAUAAAUCUUUAAUAUUGGAGCAUUUGAACUCCUGCCUACAGGUUUUAUGGCAAGUGCCUCCAACAAUGAGGCAGACUUGCUUGAUGCUACAAGUAGCACAUUACAUUUUAUUUAUAAACUACUGUAGUGUAAAACAGGUAUAUUUUUUAUAUAUUAUUUUGUUUAAAAAAUUUAAUUACAUAUGUUGAAAAUUAUGACAGAGAACAAGGGUUUGGAAGAGAGGGGGUAAAAGGUAGAAGGAUGAAGCAUGACAUGUGAACUAAUCACAGUUGACACCUCAGUUUAUACUAAAUGCUGGAGGAAGUUUAUUAUAAUAAUGAUACAUAUCAUAGAGAUUUGACAGAGUUUUAAGUGGCUGUCGACUGGCUAACACAACAUUCACCUUUUAUCUGGGCUUAUGAUCGUCUAUGUAUAGCGUCAAAUACACAUGCUCAGGUUUAGGAAGUCUGUAAUUGAAAAUAAAAAAAAACUGAGAAAUAUUACAAGCAUAUUCUGCCAUUUAUCAGUCGUGAACACCUUGAUUUCAAGGUGAAAUUGUGCUCAUUUAAUUCAGAAGACCUUUCCUUUAACAGUUUCCUAUACUGUUAGCACAAUUAUUGGUAACAUAAAAAAUUACAAUUUUAUUAUUAGUUGCUCGUUUUACUAAAGUAAUUUAAACACAAAUUAGUGUAUUUUUAAGCAAUAAAUCUGGAAAAACCCUUACAGUUAUCAUUAUAUUAGAUUAUUCAAGUUUUUUUCGUAAUGACAAUAUGCUUCACUUCAUCUAGAUCUAGGGGUGCAUAGCUUCCAUGUUAAAUCCCUAUUCUCACAUGAUUUUUAUGUUCUCUUGAUCUGGAUGUUAAAAGAUGCCAGUUUCAAAAUGAAUUUUAUUUUUUCCAUUUGUAAAUAUUUUGAUGUUUUUAACUCCCUAGUGAUAUUCUGAUGCUUUAUAUAUGCAGUGGCUCACAGCAGUCGAGCUGGGACUCUUAAAAGGUCGUCAUCCUCUUCUGACAGAUAUAGAUGUUACCAUAAAUCCUUCUAACGGGUUAACUGUUGUCGAGGAAAUGAGGUCAGCUAAGAAUGCUAAAGUCAGCAAUUUGUUAGAUCUUACUCGGCCGGAUGCAUUUAAUGGAUACACCAUUGGUCCUACCAAUGAAUUCCUUGAAGAAAGGAAGAAUGAUGACAACUUUCAUUUUAGGUCAGACCAAGAUUUACAAAGGAACCUCCAGCGUGAAGAUAUGAACUUGCAAGUAAAACAUGGUCCUUCACAGCAGACUAGCUCCACCAAUGCAGAUUUAGUUGAAGAGAAUGUAGGCCCAGCAGAUAAUGAACAUGGUCAUGUUUUACAGACAGCAAAACUGGUAACAAAUAUGCUUGAUGUUACCAUGCCUGGUACUUUAACAGAAGAGCAGAAGAAAAAGGUAGAGCACAUAGUCUUCAUCUUUAGUUGUCAUUUGUGUGUGUAGGACUUGUCUCUUGUUAUGUCUUACCUUUGUUUAAUUAUUCUGACUCAAAGAACAAGGCAGGGGGGAGGGACUUAAAGCUUUACCUCAAUGAGAUGACUAAAUUGAUUUAGGUGUUUGAAUAUCCAUCCUCUGGUUGGAGAUUUUCUUUUAAUCAUAUCAAAGGUGUAUGUAAUUAGAUUUGCUUUGUACAUUUCAUGUUCUUUUUCAUAUACUUCUAUUGAAUAUUUGGGAAUUUGCCAGGAAACUUCAUUAGUGGUGUCAGUUUCUGAUGUAUUUUUUAUAUACAUUUUCAGUAAGGUAUUAACAUGGAGAGUUGGGUAGCUGUUGCUAUGUAAGAGAGGUUCUUUUUUUUGGAGGGGGUCAAAACCUAUACGAUAGAAGGAAAUUGCGUGAAGAAUAAUUUGGUUAGAUGCGGAGCUAUGUAUGAUAUGACCUUGGUAAAGAAGGAAACAUCAUUCCAAGUAUAUUAUUCCCAAUGAUGCUUUGAUGGAUAAUGGAGAUAGUUUAAAAUAAUUUUCGUACUAUCCCUAUGUUCUAGGAGAGUGUAGUAUAUGUUCUUUCGUCACCUUUUUAUAUGAUAAUAUUGCGUUGGAUGAAUGGACACAUUAGAAAAGAUAAGAUUAGGAAUGAGUAUAUUAGCGAGAAAGUUGAGGUAGUUCUGCUCGUAGAAAAAAUGGUAGAAUUGCACCUUAGGUGGUUUGAGCAUGUGUAGAGGAGACAGUUCGAAGCCCCAAUAAGGAGAAUAGACCAAAUGGAGGCUAUUUUAAUUCUAGAGGCAGAGGGAGACCAAGAAAAACCAUAGACAAAACAAUUAGGAAAGAUUUAGAGAUCGGUGUUUUGUCAAUGGACAUGAUUUAUGAUAGAGCAUUAUGGCGUUAUUCGAGCCUUGUUCUCGACCCUACCUAGUGGAACUAAGGUUGGAUGUUGUUAUUCUUAAAUAUUGCCGUGUUUUUCAGAACCCAGUGGAAUAAGUUCCUUUAAGUUGUUAGCUUCUGAAUUAUUUUUUCAAAUGUGUGUGAGAUGUUUGAUGUUGUUAAAACAAUGCUAAAAAGUUUACAUUCUUACAAUGAAUAGACUUUUAGUCGGAACUAGUUGUCUUUAUUUGUUAUGGUGACACUUGAUAUUCUGUAUUCUAAUUUAGUAUCUCCAAACAUUUAUGGCUUUAUUAAAUUCUACCUUAGUUUUGUAAUUUUCUAAUUGUAGUAACAUCUUUUACACAUUUCCAGGUAUUAACUGCUGUGGGUCAAGGAGAGACACUCAUGAAAGCUUUAGAAGAUGCUGUGCCAGAAGAUGUUCGUGGAAAGUUAACAGAUGCUGUCACUGGAAUUUUGCAUGCACAAAGAGCUGACUUGAAGUUUGGUCGGAUGCUUGGUAUAUCUCAGGGUCCGGAAGGAUUAACCGGGCAAAAGAACCAAGAAAAUUUCAGAGUAUCAGGUGUGAUCGGAGACCUGUCCUCUUUGAAUCAGAUGAAUAAGACUAGUAGUUCUGUAGAUGGUUCUAAUAAUGCUCCAAGUGAUAGGGUUGAGCCUGCUGAAGAAACAGAAACAGAUGUUCUUCCCUUGGACAAAUUGCCAAAUUCCACAAGUUUAGACCAAUCUCAAGAUUCAAACAAUGAAGUUGGUUCAUCUAAUUCUUUCUGGAGUGAAACUCGCAAUUCUGGUGACAAUAUUGACACAGAUGUGGAGCUAAAAGAAAAAGGCGUUCCUGAUAUUGAUCAUAUUGAGAAGGACGUGGAAACAGGUUCUAAGCCAUAUACUCCCAGAACCAGCCAUUCUAAUGGGGUAGGUGGCGAAGAAGCAGCUGUUGCUGAACAGAAGAACCAAAACAAUGAAAUAGGUCAAUCAGACACAAUGGAGGAAAAUAAUAUCCAGAAGGUUGAACAGAAAAGUCAGGCCUCCUCUAGUGGUCAAAGUAAAGUAACAUCAACUGAUGAAAAAGAGGAUACGUCUUCUUCUCCGAUGCCCUCUGAAAAUGAAAUAGCUCAAUCAGACACAAAGGAGGAAAAUAAUGUCCAGAAGGUUGAGAAGAAAAGUCAGGAUUUCUCUAGUGAUCAAAGUAAAACGACGACAAGUGAUGCAAAAGAAGAACUGUCAUCAUCUCCUAUGCCCUCUGAGCACCAUACAAUAGAAAGGGAAAGUAAUGAUAAUGAGAAGAAAGAUAGCAUAAAUACACAGCAAUCUAACUCUACUAGUUCUAAUUCCAGUGCUGCCACCUUUAAUGUUUCUCAAGCGUUUGAUGCCUUGACAGGGAUGGAUGAUUCCACCCAAGUAGCUGUAAAUAGUGUUUAUGGUGUGUUAGAAAAUAUGCUAUCUCAGCUUGAGGAGAGCUCAGUCAAUGAAGGUGAAGUCAAGGAUGGAAAAGAUGUUGUACAUAGCUCAGUCAAUGAAGGUCAAGUCAAGGAUGGAAAAGAUGUUGAACAUAGCUCAGUCAAUGAAGGUCAAGUCAAGGAUGGAAAAGAUGUUGAACAUAGCUCAGUCAAUGAAGGUCAAGUCAAGGAUGGAAAAGAUGUUGAACAUAGCUCAGUCAAUGAAGGUCAAGUCAAGGAUGGAAAAGAUGUUGAAAGUAAGUUUGAAGAACAACAAAAAAGUAAUAGCCAAAGCAUGGAUUCCAACCUAUCUGAUGAUCCUUGUGGAGAUGAUCAACAGAAUGGCAUUUACUUGAAGAAUGAUUGUUGUCAUACAGAGGAACAACUACCCCAUAGCCUCAACACAGUUAAUGGGAGCAGUUUGUUCAGUCCUCAAAAUAGUAACUCUAAAGACCACCUAGUUCAAAAGAAAAAUACGGCUAGCGAAGUGAUUGACAAGACAUAUCUUGUUCAUAAAUUGGAUGAAGACAGACACGCAAAUAGGAUUCCACCGUACAUAGCUUUGAGAUCAUAUAGGGACUCUCUUUACAAUGAAUACAUCCGUAAAAAUCUUUUUUCAAAGGUUUCUACGAAACCACUGGACCUACACACAACUACUACAUUAUUGCUUGACUAUUUCCCUGAAGAAGGUCAAUGGAAGCUUUUUGAACAACCACAAAACAUGAAAAUUGCUUCUAGCAGUACUGCAACUAGUGAUGAGGCAGGGUUCAAGAUGAAGACCCACUCAUCUAAAAAAUCUUCUGAUGUUAAGAAAUAUAUGGGACCACCAUAUGUAAUAUUAGAUACUGAAAAUCAACAGGAACAUGUUAAAGAGUCCAUUACAACAGACACUAUACACAAAAUGAUUGAUACUAGUGAUGACAGGUCUAAGGAAUUGAUCCAAUUUGUGAAAGUGGUAGUAUUAGGUUCUUUGAAGAUGGAAGUUGGUCGUAAGUUGAAUGCAACAGAAAUUAAAAUGAUGAAGCCAAAGCUAGCUGGAGAUCUGGAACAUGUGGCAAAUGCGAUAUCACUGGCUGUAGUACAUAGCAAUGUUCAACAACUAUGUACUGAAAGUCAAGUUUGUAAUGUUGAGGAUACUGUGGAAAAAGUUGGUACUCUUGAUGGAGAGUAUCUCAUUAGAGUAAUUACAUCCUCUGUCCAGGAAACACGCUACCUGACAAGAGUGAUGCCUGUUGGUGUUAUUGUAGGGUCCAUCUUAGCUGCAUUGAUGAAAUAUUUUAAUGUUGCUACGCUUGAAGAUAAUAGUCAUAGAGGAUCUGUGACCUCUGGUGAUGGGGGGAAAUCUAGCAAGAAGUAUUAUGGCAAUGUUGGUGUAAGAGAGAUAGAUCAAGUACCUAGAGAAAAAAGUAGUUUGGACCAUCCAAUCAAGAGGGAGGCUGCAGAAAGAGGACCUCUGACCCCUGAUGAUGGUGUAAAACCUGGCAAAAUGAAUUAUGGCCAUGUUGGUGUAACAGAUAUAGAUCAAGUACAUGAAGAGAGAACUAGUUUUGACCAUCCCAUCAAGACAGAGGAGGUAGAAAGUGAAUCAGAAUAUGGAAGCAGAAAUACUGCCAUGGUUGGGGCUGUUACAGCUGCUCUUGGGGCUUCUGCUUUAUUCAUGCAAAAGGUGUGUUGGUUCAAUCUAGAUGUUUCCUUUCAGUGUUCUUGUCAGGCUCGUCAUACAGCAUGCUGACAGGAAUCAAGUUUUAUUUUAGUAUUUAGUAUACUUACUGAGCAUAUCCAAGAACUGGUGUCACAAUGCAUAUUUUUUUGCGGAUUAUAUUUUCUUAGUUGGAAAAUUGAGUGAGAAAUGUAUUGGGGAGCUGGAAAUGUGGAGACAAGCUUUAGAAGCACAUGUCUUUUGUAUAAGUCGAAAUAAGACAGUAUAUGGAAUCUAAGUGUAUCAAGAGGUGGACAAAACCCUAUUGUAGAGACAAAGAUUAGAGACCAUACCAUAUAAGUUGCUAAAUUUAAAUAUCCUGGGUCAAUCGUACAAUACAAUGAGGAGGAAAUUGAGGGAGAUGUAGACCACAUGAUUCAAACGGGGUGGAUGAAAUGGCGGAGUGCAUCAUUUGUCAUAUGUAAUAGAAAAGUGUCACUCAAGCUUAAGGGGAAUAUAUCGCAUAACUGUAAGACCCGCAAUGUUAUGUGAGUAUGAAUGUUGGGAUGUAAAAUAUCAACAAGAGAAUAAAGUCAAUGUAACAGAGGUGAGAAUGUUGCGUUGGAUGUGUGGACACACUAGACAAGAUAGAAUUAUGAAUAAAUACAUUAGGUAGAAAGUUAGGGUUUCUCCUAAUAUAGAAAAGCUGGUAGAAUCGUACCUUAGGUGGUUUGGUGAUGUGUGGAGGAGACCGUUAGAAGACCCGUUAUGGAGAGUAAAUCAAAUGGAAUUUUGUCCAAUUUCUAAAACCAAAGGGGCCAAGAAAAAUCAUAGAUGAAACGAUUAUGAGAGAAUUUGAUAUCAAUGUUUUGUCAAUGAACAUGAUUUACGAUAUAGAUUAUGAUAUAGCAUUAUGACAUGUUCUAUCAAUGUAGCCGACCUCAUCUAGUGGGACUAAAAUUUGGUUGUUGUUGUCCGUGUCCAUUCAUAGUUUCUUCUUUCUUUUUUAAUGGGGAAUUAAAUUCUUCAAGAAAAUUGGCUUUAAAACCACCUUAGUGUCUAGUUCCUAUAUAUAUUUCUGUCAACCAUCUAUUGCUCUCUCUGUCUCUCAUAUAUUCAUGGUCAGUCCCUCAUUAUUUAGUGUUUCUCUUGUUACCUGUCUUUCAUGUACUGGUUUUACUUUUUUUAAGUUGUUCUAAUGUUUGAUCUUUUUGAUUCAAUUAUUAAAACUUGAAAAGAAAACUUGAUAUUUCGUCCCACAGAAGUUGUGUGUUUCACACAAAUGAGAAGAGAAAAGUGAGUGAUGAAACAGAGGGGAUAAAUACAAGCUUUCUGCUUUAUAAUUAAACUGCUGGUUGCAAGUAUACAGAGUUGCCUGUUUUACUAAAAUUGCUCUGUUCCAGGGUCCACAACAAGGAAAUGAAACUGAUGAAAUCUCAUCAUCUUUCGAAAUGAAAGAUCGCCAUCAAAAGAAGCCAGAAGAGAUUGAAGUGGAAGUCUCUGAGAAGAACCAGAAUAACAUAGUCACAAGCCUUGCUGAGAAAGCCAUGUCAGUUGCUGCUCCAGUUGUACCUACCAAAGAUGGCGAAGUCGAUCAAGAUAGGUCAGAACUUGCAUUUUACCAACAUGAAAUCACUUUAGUGACAUGAUUUAUGAUAGAACAUUAUGAUGUCGUUCAAUUCAUGUAGUUGGCCCCACCUAGUGGGAUAAAGGUUUGGUUGUUGGUUGAAAUCACUCCGGUGGUUUUCCUUUUUUCUAAUAGUUUUACACAAUUUCCCUGCAUGUUCAGACUGGUUGCGAUGCUGGCUAAUUUUGGACAGAGAGGUGGCUUAUUGAGGCUAGUUGGAAAGAUUGCUUUGCUAUGGGGUGGUAUACGUGGUGCAAUGAGUUUGACUGACAGGCUUAUCUCAUUCUUGCAUAUAGCUGAACGUCCCUUGUUUCAGAGGUAACUUGACCUGGUGAAUGUUCAUUACCAUUGUGUUUUCCUUUAGUCCUGCUAGUGCUGCCUUUGAAUUUUAGAAUUACCUGGUAGAUAUCUAUACAACAUAGCCUAACCUAUGGUUAGUUUUGGCUGAGCCAAUAAUUUUAAAUUUUGGAAUGUAAAAUUUGGAAAAUCUGUUGUCUUUUCUUUAAUCAGAAGACAGUUUUAUCUCUUUAGCAACGAGAACAACAACCAAGCCUUUAUCCUAUUAGGCAGAGACUCUAUUAAACUACUCAAAAAGUAAUUUACAACCUUGUUCCAUUUUCUUGUAACCUUUUCUGUUUUUAUACCCNNNNNNNNNNNNNNNNNNNNNNNNNNNNNNNNNNNNNNNNNNNNNNNNNNNNNNNNNNNNNNNNNNNNNNNNNNNNNNNNNNNNNNNNNNNNNNNNNNNNCCCCCCCCCCUGAAAAACAAAAGAGAAGAGAGAAACAGUGUGUAUUAUUCCUUUGUUUUAAAAGUGGAAAUGACUUUGCGAGUAACUUGAUACCCAGUUCCUAUGAUAGCACCGAAUACAGAUGUAGUGCUUAGACAAAUAUUAUUGAACGUUUAAGAAAUACAAUUAUUACCCAUAUUUUGGGGGCUAAUCAUAAUCAAACUCUUUCAACAAUUUCUUAUAUAAAUAAACUACAGAAUAUACAAUAGUAUGAUUGCUAGAAUAUGCGUAAUUUUAAGGAAUUAGAAAUGAGUAAAUGGAAAUAUAGCCUAUUGCUGGAAAGCUUGGAACCCUAUUAUGUUGGUCUAGAUCCUAACAUGGAGGUUUGAAGUUGUUAAUUUCUACUCUCUGAAGAUUCCUUUAGUAAACAUGCAAAUGCAAUGUUGCUUUUCCCAAUAUGUACCUGAGUGUGAAUGUAUAUCUUCCCUUCAUUUUACUAUCUGUGCAUAAUGCAUGAGUGAAUUUAUUUCUACAGGAGUACAUAACUCAAAUUUCCACAUCUCUUUCUCCUGUAGGAUUCUUGCAUUUGUUGGCAUGAUCCUUGUUCUAUGGUCUCCUGUUGUUAUUCCAUUGCUUCCAACAUUGGUUCAGAGCUGGACAACAAUGACUCCUUCCAUAAUUGCUGAGUUUGCUUGCAUUAUUGGCCUGUAUGCUGCUAUAAUGAUACUUGUUAUGUUAUGGGGAAAAAGAGUCCAUGGGUAUGAAAAUUCAUAUGAGCAGUAUGGUCUGGUUUUGACUUCGUCACGAAAGGUACGUGUUUCAGAUAAAAAACUAAUGGACAAGUCUGGGAUUAGUUUCAGUAGAAUGUAAUAGAGAAUAUGUGUGUUUUUCUAUGAAGUUUCUAUAUUAAAAAUUGAAAACAGUAUCAUGGAUAAUAUACCAAUAAAGAUGUAGGGAAUGGCAAUGAAGAAUGUGCUAAAAUUUCUUGCUUUGUUUUCUCUCUUUUUUUUGCUGCGUGGGGGAACGGGAAGUGGAGGAAACACUUGUUAAAUUUUAAACAGCUACAUCCUUAGGAUGUAAUAGCUGUUAUUGCUGCGAAAAUAGUUCUCAGGUAACCACUGAACCUUUUGCAUCUAGUGGUUAUUUGACAUGGUGCAGGACAAAAAAGGGGCCCAUUAAAUUAUAAGAAUAUCUUCAGUUUCAGUUACUGUUCAUGUGACUGUAAUAUGGUGGUGUUUAUGAUACUGUAGUGUUGAACCUUUAGCUGUGUUACUUUAUACAUGUAUUAUAGUUUAUUUUGUUAAGUUAUCUUAGACGACUAGGAUUAGACUUAUUCUAUGGGCUAGAAUUCAUUGUUAACUUGCAGGAAUACAAGACUUCUUGGCUAGAUCUGUUUUAAGCAUCAUUUCCGCUCUCUAUAUUUAGAGUACUACUGUUCUAUUCUGGGCCUUUUAUCCUAAAUUAAUAAUAAAGCCUAGUUCUCCAAGUGGAAUAAAAUUUGAAUCUUAUUGGCUCUUUUAGAAUAUAAAAUUUCAGUCUAAUGAAUAUGUACUUUUGGACAUGUCUCAAAUCCACUAGGAAUUUGCAUAGAAAGGUGUGCUAGAGUAUUGCAAAAUAAUCUUUUCCAGUUCCUUAGCAGCUUUAGUCUUUAGACCAGUUAGUUGUUUCACAAUAAUUAUUUUUGAAAAAAAGUCUUCAGUUUGCAGCUAUCUUUGAGAGACUGUUUGAAAGUCAUACAAGAAACUCAUCCAUCCAGCCAUAUACAAUUCCUAUUAUUUGUGUUUCAUAGGUUGACUAACAUCAAUUAGAUGAUCCCCUUUGGAACAUUUAUAGCAAUAGCAAUUCCUCAUCUGCUCUAAUUUAGAUGAAAUCUUUUAUUAACACAGUCAGAAAUUUUGGUAACCAUAUUUACAUUAUAUACUUUAAAUUGGAUAAGUAAAGGCAACAAUGGCAAGGAACAAAAUGUACAGACACUAUGUUAACAGCACCUUCCCUGCUAAAAUCCCAAUGGUAGCUUCCCCCACCCACUCAAUGUAUAUUAUCAUUGACCUUAAAAUUUCCUAAGUGAUUAUAAAUCUUGUCACAUGUUUGCCUGUCUGUGGUUUGAAUUAAUGCUUUGGGCUUCCUUUCUUGAUAUGCAUCAAUCUCAAUUUAGAACAUUCUUUUUAGUUUUUACUUCAAUUUUUGUUUGGGGGUAGAUGAGAGGAGCUUUAGGAGGUGAUGGAAUUAUUGGAUUUAAUAUUCACUGGUACUGCUUGAUCCGUGAAUGACUAAUUUUGGAACCUUGCUGCAGCUAUUAGAAUUUUUGAAAGGCUUGGUUGGUGGAGUCAUCCUUGUUUUCUCAAUCCAUGCUGUGAAUGCAUUUCUUGGUUGUAUAAGUUUCUCUUGGCCUCUUACUCAAACUUCUAUGGAUGCCAUGACUUUGCUCAAAGUUUAUGGACAAAUGGGUCUGAUAGUGAUUCAAGGAACUCUAAUGGCAAGUGCAAUUGCACUGGUGGAAGAAUUGUUUUUCAGGUCAUGGUUGCCACAAGAAAUUGCAGUUGAUCUUGGAUAUCAUCAUGGAAUUAUCAUAUCAGGGCUAGCAUUUGCUUUAUCACAGAGGUUUGUUUUCUUUCUGGAAUCUUCUCUUGUCCAUUAUUUUUUUUGCAUUACACUUUGGGUUUUGUAGGACAAGAAUCUGCUUUUUUUGCCACCUUCCACCAACAGCACUGAUCUUCUAGUUUAAGUCUAUUAUUUUUACUUAACUCUAAAUUUUAUCAAUAUUUCCAUUUUAGAUUUGUUUAGUUGUGUCUUUCUUACUCUUUUAUUUAUUUAUUUUUGUUUCGUCAUAAAAGUUAGAGAGAAAAGAGAAGAGUUUGGAAGAGUCGGAUAGAUUGAGAUUUAUUCGUUUGUAGGCCUCUGAACCGCUGAAUCCCAUUGUGUGAAUUACUCAAGUAUGUCUCAACUUAUACCUAAUGCUAGGGGAAUAUUAUAGGCAUAAUCUGUUUAUCAAUUAACUCUCAAUCAAGUUUAAACUAAUUCCCUAGGAUAGGCCCCCAAUUAACCACCCUUGGUUCCAGGGUCAACAUAUUUACCAGACAAGAUUAAAAAAUGCAAUAUAUCUUAACCUACUUGAGUCUUAUACUCCUUUUUCCAAAUCAAAAUCUAAUCUUCUCAUUUGUGAUGGGGUUGUUUUCAGGUCUCUGCUAGCAAUACCGGGACUUUGGCUUUUAUCUUUAUUUCUGUCAGGUGUCCGGCAGAGAAAUGGAGGUAGCCUCUCCAUGCCAAUCGGCUUACGCGCAGGGAUAAUGGCAUCUAGUUUUAUCUUGCAAAAGGGUAGAUUUUUAGUAUAUAAUAAUUACGAUGGCAACUUUACUCUCUGGAUAACGGGGAGUCAUCCAUUCCAACCAUUUAGUGGUUUAGUUGGUUUGCUAUUUUCUUUAUCACUGGCCAUACUUCUCUACCCCAGACAGACUUCAGAAAAAAAAGAAGCUUAGAUUUAAGUAGAAAAUUCAUCAGGGAAAAACACUACACUUGUAAAUUUGGUGAUGCCUUCCUGAUUAUUAGGCAGAAUUUGAAGCAAUUGGUGAGGCAUUUAGGUUCUACUUACACACAGUCCAGUUUUUAUUAUGCUGUUAAUUGGGGAGUGGAGAAUGAGAAAGACAGAUAUUGAAGGACAUAGAAAGAUAAAACUAUGAAAAGUUAAGGGCUUCAGCUCUCCAACUUAGAUACUAAAAUUUCAUCUGGAGCCUAAAGACAGGCACCAAUCGGGUGUGAGUAUGUACUAUGUACAAAUUCAAUUUUGCAAGUAGAAAAGCUAGAUGUUUGUACAAAGUUUUGUUUUGUUUUUGUACUCAUAAAGUUAUGCUACUUGUGUCACUAAUUAACAGAACAAGAUGUGAUGCAGUAGCCAGGAUAUAGGAAUAGAGCCAUAGGUCAGUAUACACUAUACAGUUGUGUCUAUUAGUGGGAAUAAAGUUUAAUUGUUGUCGUUUUCUAGAGCCACGUUUACAUUGUAAAUCUGUAAAAUACUAAACCGCACACUCUGAUAUUUUGUAAAGCAAUGAGAAUCCGUUACUUCAUAUUGUAUGUUCAUCUCUCCCGUCUGGUUAUAUACUGGUGGCAAUAUCUCCUGCAUCAGCUUGCCUGUAAGGACUCAAAGGUAUAAGUGGUCACCUGAAAAUUUGAUGAUUUAUUUUUUCUUCCAGUUUUUCAGAGGGUGAGAUUUCAAAAAAAAUUAUAUAUGCCAAUUUGGUUCUUGAAUUUGAAAAUCCUAAAGAGUCAAAUUAAUUAAUUUAGUAAUUUUAUUUUCUAUAUUAUAUUAAUUAUGUUAACGAUAUUUAAAUACUAGUUUCAAAUUAUUAUUAUUUUGAAAAUCAUGCAGAAAUUUAUAAAGACUAAAAUAUUUACUUCAAAAAACUUUAAUCAUGUUAGAUGACAUCAAAACUCGUCACUGCUAAAUUAUAUUUGAGCACCGGGCGUAAUUUUAGUGAGUAGAUACAAAUUUAAAUUUAGUCUAAGAUUUAAGAACUUAACAAGAUAUAUUUAAGUAACAAUAAUUAAAAUGAUAAUAACAAUUAAGAUGAAAAGUGAAAAGAAACUAUACAACAGAGAAAGAAGUCAUACAUAAAAUUGUGGGUUGUUUAAUAAUCCCUGAAGUGGUCAAGUGGAUGAGAGGUAUCAAGCUUUAUAUUAUAUAUUAUAUGAGUUUCACAUCAACAAACAAAAUCAAUGAAAAGAGAGAAAGAUCCUAUGAUCCGAUAUGAUUGCAAUGUUAUGUUGCAUAAAGAUAAAGUUAAGGACAGAGCUAAGAAAUGUCAAAUGAUUAAGGCAUCUGUUGGCUGCUGAAAGCAAAGCAAGCUCUGCCCACAACACCACUCCGAAUCAAAGCCUUUUUGUGAUUUUGACCUUGUCGUUUCCGGCUGAAAUUCUCACACUUCUCACUCAAUGUUUAUGCAAGAAUUUAUCCAUUUUUAGUGUCGUGAGACUGAUGAUACUGAUAAGUGCACCCUACAGGACCACACACAGGUAAGUGGAACACGACCACAGCUACAAAUUCAAUAGAAUAAAAUGUUUCUUUUUCGCUAUUAUCCCAUAAAAAUGAACAUUUUCUUCUUCAUGAAUUUAAAACGAAAAUGAUAAAAAAAAAUGGUUCAUUGUGCAGGAGAAUCUCACUUAAAACAUGUCAUUUUACCUUUUCUUACUGAUAUAAACCAAGCAGGGCAACCUAUGAUUAUUGGAGGCUAUGUUCUUGCAAAGAAUUUAUAGAUAGUUUGGUUUAUUUUAUUUACGUUGAUUCAAAUAAAUAAAUGAGAUUACAUUCUCAUAUUGUCUUAGGUUUAUUUUCAUUAGUAUUUUAAGUAUUUAAUUCAUGUAAUAUGGGUUGGGAAUUAUUUGUAACAUUGGCCCAUAUUCAUGACCAAGUAGUUUACUUAGGUUCAAGGGUAAGCCUUUCACAUGGCUAGGGCAAAUGGAAGUCAAUGCAUGAUCAUUUCAAGGAAGGAGGCACGAAAGGAACUCUAUCUAUAAGGACAAACAAGAAGACAAGGCAAUUCAGCUAACACUUUAUCUCUAAGGCAAACAAGGAGAUAAGGCAUGGAGGGAAAACGAAUUUAAAAGAAGAUAGGUUUGUUUUAGCAAUUUGAAUUUGAAUUUGAAUUUGAAAGAAGAUAGAUUGGAAUUUGAAAGAAGAUAGGUUUGAAUUUGAGAAAAGAUAGAUUUGUUGCUGCCAACAAAUAUAAUCUUUUCAAAUCAGCCACAACAACCUAAUCUACACAUUAUCUUCUCAAAUCUCCACAUAAUUUCGGCCAAACUCAAAUGCAAGGAACCAAGCCAACAACACCAACACCAAAUUCAAAUCAAGCUUCCUCAAAUCAAGGAAAUCAUCUCAUCUCAAUCUUCUUCCAAACCAUGGAAACUAUUCAACCCAAAUUACAUUAUUUAAGAUCUUAUUUACUUGAUUUAAUUAGGAGUUAGAUUAUUAUUUCAUAUUUAUUUUUAGCCUAAGUUUUAAUUAGGAUUUUAAUUAUUCAAGUUAAUUAGGACUUAGUCUAUUUUCUUUUCAGCCAAGGAACUUUGCCUAUUUAUGCAUUCAGAUUGGAUUAAUAAAAGUUAAGUUGAAUUUUAAGUAAAUUUGAAUUGUUUUAGUUGAGAGCACUUCUCCUAAACCUAGGUUGGUCGUGGACACCAUUGUUGUUCUUAUCAAGCUUCCAUGCUUGUGGCGCUUCCCCCUCCUAACCUUUUCUAUUUCCCUCACCAAAACAACCCCAAAUUCCCACAAUUCACUGAUAGAAGGUUUCUAUCAAUGAAGUUGAUUAAUUCUGGAAAUUUAAGAGAAGAAAAGAGUUUGAGCAAUGCUCUAGAUUUUUCAUAUAUUCAUCAAAGGAAAACUGUUCAAUUUAAAUACAAUAAGCAAACCCUAAUUAUGAUGUUAGCCUUACACUUGGCAACAUCUUGAUUGAAAGGUAAAUUCUUAAAACAGAAAUAUUAAAAUAGAAGGUUCUAGAUAAUAUAAUUUGUCAUCCAUUUAGGAGGAACUCUGGGCCUUUUAUCAUUAAGCCCAUUUGGCUUAUCAAUACUCUCCCCAUGAAUAACAACUUUGUCCUCAAGGUUGAGGCCCAAUUCGGUUGGUUCUGCUGGAAUUGGAAUGGGAUCCGUGAAGCCCAUUUGAUUAGAUAAGGGAGAGAUGUUGAAUUCCUUUGAGAUAGAUUCCUAUGGAUAGGGAAUCCGAGGUGGCACGCUCUAAGUGGAGGGAGCAGAUUUCCGUGUAGAGAUAAGGGAUGGGGUUUGUUGACCGGCUGACUUUUCUGCAGUGUGUAGAACGCGUGGCGCUGCAUCAUUGGGAAGCGCAGAACGCGUGGCGCAGUGUGCAGCAGGGAGCUGUUGCUUUCCUGUCACGCGUGGGACACGUGUCGCCUUGGCAGUGGAGCUUUUUUGAAUUACCGUGUGGUAAUUCGUUCCCUCAUUGUGCAGCGUGAACAAGGGGAACCGUGAAGGUCCCUUUAUUAUUCCCAUUAAUGAGCUGUUUGGACCCCCAAUGUAAUAAUUUCUUCUUCCAUAUUUGAAUUUGAAAUCCGAAAAUUAUUUUUUUCUUUUAUAGCUGAUGUGUCACCUUUCACGUGUUGCCUUAGCUUUAAAGUGGAACUCAGUAGUUCAUUUUGUGUUUUUGUCACUACAGACUGAGUUGUUGUUCUGUCUUCUCCCUUUUCUUUACUCUCUAAUUUUUUUUCUUCAUUGCUUCCUUCCUCUAAAUUUAACACAGGUUGAGACUGUGUCUUUAUGGAAGAGGUGCCCCAAAACGGUUUGAGCUUUGAAACAUGAAAAACCGGGUGCACUUGAGAGCCUUCUGAUAAUGUGAGUUCAUAUGCUACCAUUCCUAUACGUCGGAGAAUCUGGUAAGGACCAAAAAAA